CUCGCUUCUCUCACUUCCGCUUCGCCGCCGUACGCCGCUUCCACUACCCCUCUCUUCUCCGCCUCGUCUCCCUUCAUCUUCAACCCUCGCAGCAACAAAUCGCGGCGGACCGACGCGUCGCCGAUCUUUUCCCUAAACAACGCGUUGAAGUAAUCGGGGAUUGUCAGCGCUAUGUCCACCUCGGACAUGUAAAGAACCCCUCGGUCUUUCCUCAUGAUCAGGUAAUCGUGAGACAACGCGAGGAGAAAUCCAGCGGCAGCGGCGUGACCGGUGAUGGCGGCGACGGUGGGCAUCGGGAGGGACAGAAGAGCCGCGGUGACGGGCUUAAACAAAGCCACCAUGUGGUGUAACCGUUCCGCGGCUCCUUGUUCAGAUCCGGCGGCUUGAGCCCAGUCGAGAUCGAAGCCGUUGGAGAAGAACUUACCUUGGGCUUGGGUAAUAAGAGCUGAGCCACGAGUGGCUUCAGCCUUGACCUGAGAGAGAAGGCUGAGAAGGGAGCCGAUGAGAUUGGGAUUAAACCGGUGCUGGUCUUCGCCGGUAAAUGUUAAAAUAAAGACGUUGCCGCGUUUCUCCAAUGUACACAUGAUGAAUUUCCGGUGAGUUUUCCGAUUUCGCUAAAGCUUUGGAAUCUACGGCUUUUUUUUGGUUUUUGUGUCUUAAAAUAAUAAUAAAUUAAAAGAUAAGGUAUUUCAUAAGUGAUGACAUAAGAAAGAAAAAAAAAACAACGAGGACCGUUCUAAUAAUUUAUUAUUAUUGCUUGCGUGGGAACUUAAAAUUUCUUAAUUAUUAAUUAUUAUCAAUUAAGUAUUAAUUCAAUUGGUAUAUACAAUACUGUAAAUAUAGGAAGAAGUAGGUUAGAAUGCGUUAAAAUAUAUUAUUUUUCUAUUUAUGAGUUUAAAAAGUGUUAUAGUUAAUUCUAAGCAUAGUAUAUAAUCAAAAUUUAUAAUAAAAUUAUUUAAAAAAUCUUAAUUAUUAGCUUAAAUUACAUUUUUAUAGUUAAAAAAAAAGAGUUUAAAUGCCAAAAUAAGGUUAUCAUAAAAUAAUUUAUUUUAGAUUACUUUUUUUUAUAGAAAAAUGCUUAAUGAUAUAAAAAGUAUUUCAAAAAAUUCAAUUUUGGAAAAGAAAUUUGUGUUCCCCGUUUUCUAUAUGAAUUGAGCAUUGGACAAUAUUUUUUUGAAUAUAUUAUAUUAUAAAAAAUAUUAAAUGAAUUAUAUAUAUUUAAUAAUUAUAUAUUUAUAUAUAUAUUAAAUCACCAACCUAAUAACAAUUAAAUUCAUUACUCUUAAAAAAAAAAUUUACCCAACUAAAUUACUUGACCGUAAAUAUAAAAUUUUAAAAUUAUAUUUAAUACAAUAAAAUAUUUAUUAUAUUUAUUUAUAUUUUUUAAUAUAAAAAAAUAUUUAUUAUAUUUAUGGUAGUGUUUUUUAAUAUAAAUAUUUUUAAUAUAUUAGAGAACUUUUAUUUUAACUUUUUUUUACGUAUUUAAUGUAUUAUAUUUUUUAAAAUAUAUAUUUUUAAAUAAAAAUUGAUCUUAUAAAUCAAAUAUAAGUGGGUUGAGUUAAACUUGGAUUUAAGGAAAUUGGACUGGACUUAGAUAAAAAGUUAAAAGUCCAAUUUUUUUAUCGAUUUAGACCCAAACAUGGGCUCAAUUCGGCCCGACCCUGCACUUGAAAAAGAAGAAGAAAUGAUAGAACUUGAAGGGCCCUUAAGUAAGAGUGAUGCUGUUAACCGUGAAUUGGUUUCUCUAGAGAGGGAGUUGGCAACUCUUUCCAAGAAUAACAUGAUAGAUCCUUUCGGCUUGUAUUUGUACGGUCUUGUGCUUAAAGAGAAAGGCAAUGAAAAUCUUGCUCGCAAAGUUUUCGUGGAAUCCGUGAACAGUUACUCUUGGAAUUAGGGCUAGAAGAUGGAGUCUGGUAAUGGGUGGAAGAACGAUGGGGAAUGGAGUGGUGCUUUGAGGUUGUGUGGUUAGUGUGAAUGUAAGUUGUAGUGUUUAGGGUGGAAAAAGAUGUGGGAGUCAAGAGAACGGACUGGAUGGUUUAAGGGAUGUGAGUGGUGCGGUUUAGAGACGGGUCAAGAGUGAAAAUUGGGGUUGUUGGAAGGAGGAGAUGAUGACUAGUGGAGGUGUGGGAGAUUAGGAGAGUGGUAAGGUUGAUGGUGAUCCGAACAGAAGAGAAAUAAGAAUGGAGAAGGCAAAGGAGAGAAGGAAGAAGACUUCGUUGGUGCCUGUGAUAAGAGUCAAUCACUGGAAAUCUGGUCGACGGCAACGGUGGCAAAAAGGGAGUCUGUUUCAAUGUAAUUUGAACGUUCAAAUUUUUGUUGUGGCUCACGAGGCCACAUGUCACUAAGGAUGUUGAGAUGGAUAAUUGAAUUAAUCGAAUUUUUUAAUCAUUAAUCAAAUUAAAAAAAAUUAAUCGAACUGAAAUUUAUAUGUUUUUUUUAUUAAAAUAAAUAUAAAACAUAUAAAAAUAAAUAAAUUGAUAAUGUUCAUUUGACCAGAUUAUAAAAAUUAACUGAAUUAAUAAUAGCCUAAUAUAUAUAAUAUAUAAUAUUAUUUAUUAAGUUUAGUUAAUUACCUGAUUUUGAACCGAAUUAAUCGUUAAUCGAAUUUUUAAAAAAUAUUUAACCAACCUCUAAUCGAACUAGAUCUAUUAAUCGAAUUAGAUCUGUUCGGUCGGUUAAUUCGGUCAUCUAUAUUAGUGGGUUAUAUGUCGAUUAUUAUUAGAACUUAACACUGUUAAGUAAGAGUACCAAAGAGACUGAGGUGUUCAUGGGUCGGGCCGAGGCUAAAUAUAAUAUUAACAUAUUUUAUACUUGUCCAAACUCGACUUGGCUAGAAAUAUGGGCCCACAAUUUUGCCCAAACCUACUCAUAUUUGCAGAAGACUAACCCAAUUUCUUUUUCGGCUUGCCUAUGUUAUUUUUUAUUUUUUUCUAAAAAUAUUUAUUUUCUUUUUUUCAUAAUAAUAAUUUUAUAAUUUUUAUAUAAAAAUUUUGGUAAAACACAAGGGUAAUUUCUACCAUUAUCCCAAAAUUUCCUUCAUAUAAGCAAUACAAAAUGAAUAUGGGGAAUUAAUUGUUUAACAAAAUUUGAGUAAUUUAGCAAGUGUUUGGUGAAGACAUUACUCAAAAAAUAUAAUGGCCCCAUGCUCCAUGUGAUAAUUUAAUAGCUUUAAUAUGCAUAGCCAAAAAAAAAUUGUUAAUAUAUUUACUUAGUAUUAUCAGUAAUUAUUUUUUUUAAAAUUAGUAAUUCAUUAUCUUAACUUACUUACUAGGGGAAUUUUUUAGUAGGAAUUUUCAUUAAUUAAUUAUCAAAUAUAAAUACGUAGUUAUUCUAUAUUAGAUUAUAAUACAUUCACGAUAUGUAUAAAAAAAUUACGUAAAAAUAUAUUUGUAAACAUUUUAUAUUGAAAUUAAGUGAACCGACUAAAUUAAAAUUUUAAAAAUGUGUCUUAAGUUUAAGUUUUAUUACAAUAUUGUUUUAUUAAAAAACUUGAAAAAAAUAAAAAUAUCCUCGAAUUAAUAUUUGUUACUUUUUAAUGGAAGGGGUUUUUAGUCAUUUUUAAAUCGAAUUGAUGUCUAGUUGACUUAUGAUAUCAACUUAAUUAAAAGUUUAAUAUAUAGUAUAAAUAUAAAUGUAUACGGAUAUAUAAAACAGGGCUCGUAAAACAUUUCAAAAAUAAGUUCUCAAUCUCAUGAUAGAUACUUUAAUCUGGUCAUUUCUAGUCUCUUACUUUUUGAAUUUUAAAAUUUUAGUCUUGACCAAAAAUUAGGUGUUAAAUUCAUUAAGUUAUAGCAAACAUAUUAUUACAUGUGUAAUGUUAUGUUUACUUGCUAUUUUCAUAUACUAUUCACAAAAAAACCAGUUUAAUGGAUUCAACGGCUAUCAGUUGCGUCAAGACUGGAAUUUUGAAAUUCGAAUAGCAUAGGAACUAAGAAUGAUCCAAUUGGAGAAUUUGAACUCAAUCUACAACUUCAUGCAUAGUACACUAGUACAGGACUAACAACAAGGGCAAAUAUAGAUUUUUUUUUUUUAGAAAGUCGAAAUUAAAUUAUAAAUUUUUGAAAGAUCAAAAUAUAAUUUUAUCAUAUAUUAAUGGUUUAAAUUGCAAAAUGAUACCUAAAUUAUACCCUUUUCCCCAAGUUAGUACCUAAACUUAUUUUUUGUCAUGAGUGGUACCUAAACUAUAUUUCGUUAUCCAAGUGGUACCUAAACUAUUCCCUGUUACCCAAUUUACAUUAGACACAUGACACUUUUAAAACUAAAAAUCCAAAAAAAUUAAAUAUUAUUUCCUUAAAAAACUUUUAAACAUAUUUAUCUCUUUUGAUCUUCACCUACCAACUUCGAUGAUGAAUAUUUAAGAAACCGUUGGAAAAAUCAUUCGAACCUAGUUUCUGGUGACAAAACCCAAAUUCUGAAGAGCUACUUUUAUAUUUUUAAAUCUCGAUUUUGAUUCCUUUCUCAUCCUGAUUUAAAACUAUGUAUUAUUUUUGUUAGAUACAAAUUUAUCCAUUAUUUUCUAUAUACUUUGUAUAGAAUAGUUAAUGUUGGGUAAAACUUUACAAUUAAUAAAACCCAGGUAAAGCAUGAAACUCAAAUACUCGAACAAGGUGAGUAGAAAUUAAAAUGGGAAGAGUAUAGCAAAGAAAAGUUAUCUAACAGUUAAAAAGGUGCAUUAAAAGAGAAGCAAUAAUCGUAUUGGGGAGGGAGAAAAUAAUGAAAAUUUUUAUUUUAAUUAAUUUUUAAUUUUUAUAAUUUAAUUUAAUUUUAAUUUAAAAAUAUCACAUGUCACAAAAUGAUUUGUUAAGAGAUUUUUUUAAUGACUAGGCUAAUUUGGGUAACAGAAUAUAGUUUAGAUAUCACUUAGUGUAACAAAGUAUAAUUUAAGUACCACUUGUGAUAAAAAAAAAGUUUAGGUAUCAACUUAGGAAAAAAAUAUAGUUUAGAUACCAUUUUGUGGGUUAAGCCUAUAUUAAUUAUGGUUCCAUCAUUUUUUAAGGGACUAAACAAUUUUUAUUUUUAUUUAUGGGAGGUCAAAAUGGAAUUUUACCAUAUAUUAUCUUAUAGUUUCAUCAUUUAUGGAGGGACCGUCUUAUAAUUUUUCCAUUGGGGGGUAGGGGGCUAAGUCCCUACCUGCCCCUUGGUUUCGCCUUUGACUAAUAGUAGGAUUUAAUUAAACGAAUUUAACUACUAUAAUUGAGUAAAAAACUAAAAUUUAAAUAAAUUAAAAUACAAUGACUAAAUCCAUAAUUUACACAAAAUAUAAGAACUAAUAAAAAAAUUAUUUGAAAGUUCUAUUUAAGUUACAUAACUAUUUGGAAGUUUUUAUCUAAGUCACUGGGCUUUUGAGUUUUAAUUUUUAAAGUUUAAUUAGCGAGCUCUAAGAGACUAUUUGACGAUAAAUACGUUGAAUCAGUAUUCAUCAACAAGUAAACUAAUAUAUCUUAGAUCCAAGUCAAUCUGACGAUUAGUGUCGAAGAUCAGAGAGGAAAUUUGUUUAGAUUUUGAUUUGCAGGUUCAUGAUGUUCAAAGUUGUUUCAUGAAAAAAAAUUUGAAUUGUGGAAGAGAAGAGGAAAAAGAACAUUCGAUUUGUUCAGGUGGUGCAAGUAGAGAAGAUUAUAGAACAAUAAUUUCAAAGUCUAAUAAUUUAAAUAACUAUUUUGUAACUUUCUGAGAUUAAAAGACUAAAAUGUAAAUUGAAGACACAUAUAUAAAAAUAGCAAUGAUGUUGUAAGAUGAUUGUUUGAUAGUAACUUGUAGUUUUCAACUUAAAAAGACCCACAUAAUUAAGAACAUGACAAUUAUGCCAUUGGAAAUUGGAAUCUCCCAUCAUACUUCCCAUUUAAGUGCCUUUAACAGCGAAUAGCAUCUCCUACCGUAUUUCACUAUGCAAAACACACCCUUUCAGUUUUCAUCACUUAAACCAUUUCACAUCUGUCAGCUUUUUUUAUCUCUACUCACCUCUCUUAUUCAUAGUAUCGAAUUUAUCGUGAAUGACUAGGUUAGAAAAUUUUUUUGAAGGGUCAAAAUUAAAUUUUAAUUUUUAUAAUAUUAAAAAUAUAGUUUUAUGAUUUAAUAGUCUAUAUUUUAUAAAUUUUAAAAAAUUAAAUUAAAAUAUUACUAUUUUUAAGAGUAGAAAAGUGUAAUUUUAAAUUUAUUAUUUUUAAGAGGGAAAAAGUGUAAUUUUACCAUUGUUAAUUGAAAAUUUUAAAAUUUUAAAGGGUCUAAAUAGAAUUUUUUUCAUUUUAGGAGGGGGAGGGGCUCUUUCUAGCCCCCUAACUAUGCCCUUAUUUAUCGUGUUUAUCUUGAUUGUAAAUUAUUACUAAUCGUAUCAUAUUUAUUAUGAUUGUAGAUUAAUUACGAUUUAUAAACAUAUAAAAAAUUUGUUAUCGUUUUUGAUUAAAUAUUGAUAGAAAUCACAAAUAACAACCAUGUCUUCAAAUAAGGGGUGAAGCUAGGAAUUUCAUUUAAGGGUUGAGAUAAAAUUACAAAAUUUUGGAGGGGUUAAAACUCAAAAACCGUGUUAAAAAAACUUAAAUUAAUUUAUUAGUUUUUCGUAAGGAUCAAUGAAAGACUAAAAAAACCCUUAAUUUUAAUGUUUUAAUUUCUGGGAGGGCCCAGAAGAAAAUUCUCCCAUUUGGCUACGCUAGAAGUGUUUAUAUACUAGGCAACUUACUCGGCUCAGUGGUUCGGUUCGGUUCGUUUUGAGUUGGAAUUGGAUUUAUAUUUUUUCAACAUCAAGCUGACCUGGUCGGACUCGUUAUACUAUUUAUAAAUAAUAAAAAUAUAAAACUAAUUUUAUAUUAAAAUUUAUAUAUUUUAUAAUUAAAUUUAAGUUAAAAUACGUUAUAAAUCCCUACAUUUUUCGUAAAUUUAGAAUUUAGUUCCUUUAUUUUUCGAAUUUCAAAAUUCAAGUCUAACUAUUAACACUAUUAAAAUUAUUUUAUUAAAUUCAAAUUAAUUACAAUAUCAUUUUUUUAAUUAUUGCUAUCAAAUGAGUAUUUUUUUAUUUUAAAAUAUCACAUCAACAAAUUCAACAACAAAAGAAAUUAAUAGUUUUAACAAUUGGACCUGAAUUUUAAAAUUCGAAAAAUAUAAGUACUAAAUUUUUAAAAAUAAAAGUAUAGAGACUAAAUCUCAAUUUUUUGAAAAGUACAUAGACUUGUAACGUAUUUUAACCUUAAAUUUAAAUAAUUUUUUUUAAAUAAUAAAAUAACUUUUUUGAAAUGAAUUUAAAUAGAUCGAGCUGUAACUUGAACCUAAUUUUUUUUUUUUUUAAAACCCAACCUCCACCUGACCCGGACAUAAUACCAAUGGCAUUUGAGACUCUACAUUUUUCUGUUGAUACUUUCCAUGCACGGCUUUAACUUGAGAAGAAGAAAACCCAAAAGAAUGAUUCAGAGUUUGAUGAGACAUGCAAUGCAACCACAUGACAAAGCCUGUGUUUGAUUCCCAUCACCAAUCUUAUUCAUCUAAUCACUGUAAACAAAUUAAUUAAGAUUUGAAUGGAAUAAAUAAAAAUGGAUUAAUUGCAAUUUGCACCCUGCAUGCCCAAAUUUUAGAUUAAUACUUAAACUUUGAAACGUUCUAAUUGAAUUUUUGAAAGGGAAUAGAUCAACUUACAUCAGUGUAAAAUUAAAGUGAUUUUACACUAUUUCGUAAUUUUUUAUACGAUUAAUAUUUCAACAAUCCAAUCACCAUAUUUCAUUCUCCGUUCAUGUAGAUCAUGCAUGUUAAGUUUGGCAUAAAUUAAAAAUUUCUAAAUAUUGAUUUAAUGUAAAAAAAAACAUUCAACCGUUAAAUAUAUUAAUAUAAACAAUACUUUAGAUCGAUUAAAAAAUUUACAUCCAUAAUAAGUAAAAAUAUCUUGAUAAAUUUAGCGGUUAGAUUGUCAAAACAUUAAUUGUAUAAAAAGUUACGGAAGAAUGUAAAUUUACUUUAAUUUUUACAUCGGUGUAAUUGGAUCCCUCUCAUUUUUUUGAAAUAUCAGUAUUGUAUUAAUUGUGUCCUUGUAUUGCUCUAGCCGCCAAUUUGAGUGUUAAAUAUUGUUAGCUCAAAUCUAACCUGUAACAUAUUUCAAAUACAUAAUCACAUGAACAGUCCAAUCUAACAUGUUAAAAAAAAAAACCCUUCCUGAAUUUAUCGACAUUGCCUAUGUUUUUCUUUAACACGUCAUAUCUAAGUUACUCGCAUGGUAAGUGUAAAUGUAUUUAAAAUUCAAUCCACUUUAAAUGAAUCAAUUUAAAACAUGUCAUAGUUUAGAAACAAAAUUAGGAUGUGGGGUGCAAUUAGAUUUGCUCACGGCCUAGGCUAGAUUGGAUUGAUGCAAAAUUUCAAGCCUAUUUUUUAGACUCAACCUGAAAAAUUGGCCUAAAAUUUUGCUCAAGUUCGGCCCAUAAAAAAAGGUUAAACCCAAGCCCGACCCUGCUCACAUGUAUUAAUUUUUUUAUAUAAAAACAAAUUUAAAAAAUAUAAUACAUCAAAUGCACCAUUAAAAUAAAUAUUUCCUAAUAAAUUGAAAAUAUGUUAAAAAAAUCUUUAUACUUAAAUAACAUAAGAUAGUUGCAACUUAGCAAGUAGAUGCCAUUAAAAUAGUAGCAAAAUUAACAAUAAAAUAAGAGUUAUACAAUAUCCAAAAAAACAACAAAAAUAAUAGCAAUAUAAUAAUAAAAUGACAGCAAAAAAGUAGCAAACAAUAACAGAAAAAAAUUAAGCAAAAUUGGGUUGGGCCCGAGCCAAAAAAUUUUACCCGAGGCACAACCUAUUUAGAAAAUGGACAUUAUUUUUUGUUCAAACAUAUUUUUUGGGCUUAUAUUUUUGCUCUAUUUUUUAAGCGAGCCUAGAUAAUUCAACUCAUCAUCAAACCUAGGUGCAACCAACCCUAAAAAUAAAUUGAUCCCAAAAAGAAAAAGAAGAGUUAAAUCAAACCUCAAAUCUAAGGAGAGCAUGAUGGGUGUUAAACACGGCGGGCAAACACUGCAAUAUCGACCGUAGAACCUAAUGAAAGUGAAGCUAAAUUUAGCAAAGGGAAGGGGUCAGCUAAUUGGCUGCUACUCUUUCACUAAAUCUCAGCUAAAUGUGGCAGUAUCUUUUGCCUAAUCCACCACCUCUGUUCAAACUUCAAGAUGCAUAUGGUAAUUUGGAAUGAUGAAUGGAUGGAUGAAUGGACAUGCAGCCCAUUAAUCUUUCUUUGCAUGUAUGUAUGUAUGAUGUGAUGUUCCCCAUGGAUUGGUCAUUAUAUAUAUAACAUCUAACAUUACCUUUUUUUUUUCAGUAGUAGCCCCCUUGGCUAUAAAUUUCAACUUCAUAGUAAAAAGGUGGAAUCAACAUAUGGAAUGUUCUUUUUUUUAAAAAAAAUUCAUUUUGGUUGUAGGGUUACUUUUUUUUAUCUUAAAUCUCUAUUGUUGUGGGAAUUAGAUUGGACCAAUUGUAUUGUUCGGAACUAGUAAAUUAUUGAAAAUCGAAACAAAAAAAUAACGAUUAAACUGGUCUACAAAAUUUUAAUAUAUAUAUUUAUGAUUUUAACUAUUUAUGUAAUUAUUGUUAAAUCGAUAAUUGAACUGAAAUGACUAAAUUAAUUUUAAAAUAUUGCAAAUCGAAAAAUGAUUCGAAUAGUUAUGUUGAGACAAUUUUCAUAAUAUUAGUUAAAAAUAUUCAAUUAUAUGAAUUAAAAUGAAUUUUAUUUUUUAUUUAAUUUAUAAUUAAUUUUAAUUUAUAUGAUUAUGCAUACUUAUGAUACGUGUGAAACAUAAAUUUUAUGUAAAAAUUAUAUUUAUUUAAAAAAUUCGGGUAAGAAAUUAAUUAAAUUUUAGUUGAAAAAAGCACUAUAUUUAUUUUGGGUAUAAAAUUUAUUAAUAGAUUUUACAAAAAUAUAAAAAUUUAAAAUUUUUAAAAAAUUAUUGUUUUAUUAAUUUAAUUUAAUUUAAAAUUUAAUUUUAAAAUUUAAAAAAAAAACUAUAGAUUGAAGUUCUCAAGGACCUGACCCAUUUAUAAUAGGAAUUUUAACUUUUAACUUCUAAAAUUCAUAAAAUUUUAAGUUAGUAUAUGAAAUAAUUACACUUUAAUCCUUUAAAAUGAUAAAUUUUUAUAUAAUUAUUUAAAAAAUUAUUAAAAUAUAAACUAUUAAAAUAUUUAAAUUACGUGAAAAUAUACAACUUAAUUCUCCUCCAAAAAAUUCAGGCAACGUUUACGAGUCCGCUAACUACUAUAAAAAAAACUCAAGGGUUAUUCUUACGAGCUUUGACUUCUACACUAUUCAAAUAACUAGAGUUAUUUCAUUUCAAAUCUGAACUAAACUAUUUAACUCGAACUGGUUAUAAAACUCGAAAAACUUAGAAAUUUUUUUCUCUUUCCUCUGACCUGUGAAUGAUUAUUGAGGACCAAUAGCACCUGGCCAGGUCCCCCCCUUCCCCCAUUGCUGUUUAUAUAUUUUACAUUGUAAGGUGUCCAUCAUCAAAACUCAUAUCAUCAUCUCUCUCUAAUCGAAAAACAGUAGUUAAAAUUUCAACAAUUUUUAUUUUCCUUUUUAUUUUUAAACAUAAAAUAGUAGAUUGAGAUUAUUAAUUUCUUAAAUUGGAAAAAAGGCAAAAACAUGGGAGGACGAGGUUCCCUAUAUAGUAAGUGGUGACCUAACAUAUAGAUGGGAUACCCUCCAAUGGUAUUUUCACCUUUCUGGCUUAGAAUUUGAUGGCCUGUUUGUUUGCUAAGCUUUAAACUCACCUUUCUUUUUCUCAACUCCCUCCCUCCCAAGAAAAAACCCAUCAUCAUCAUCACCACCUUUCUCUCUCACAGGUAUCAGUUCAUUUACUUUUUUAAAUUUUAUGAGGGAUGGGUUUCUUUUGAUUCUUUGAUAUCUAUGACUGUUUUUUGUUUAUGUUUACUAGAAUCAAUGGAGAGGAAGACAGCAGCCAUCAAAGACCAGACAAGCUGCUACAGCAAAAGCAACAACAAGGUUAAGGAAUCAUCACCGUGGAGCAGCUGUAAUAAUCAGGGUUUUGGUAGUGGAGGAGAAGAUUAUCUAUCUGGGUUUUCAUGGCCACCUAGAUCUUACACUUGUAGCUUUUGUAAAAGGGAAUUUAGAUCAGCUCAAGCUUUAGGUGGUCAUAUGAAUGUUCAUAGAAGGGACAGAGCUAGGCUAAGACAAUCACCACCACCACCACCAAAAGACCACCAUCAUCAUCACCACGGUCAGCCCCCUUUUUUGAACCUUAACCUUAACCCUAACCCUAACCCUAACCCUAAUUUUUCCCCUCCAUCUUCUCUUACUCUUUCUACAUUCCCUCCUCCAUCUCCAUCACUGUCUCCGGCCAAGAAAUGGCUCUUCAUCGACCCUUUGAACUCGAAACCCUCUGAUUCGCGUAAAGGGGUGGAAAGAGACCGUCAUAGUAGCCUCGGCUCUAGGCCGAUCCUUGGGGUUAAAGAACUUAAAGAUUAUGUAACUUUGGACUUGGAGAUUGGUUUGGUUAAUGAUUCUAAGCAAGAUUUGGACUUGGAACUUCGAUUGGGGUACUCAUAGUUCAUCAAAUGGUGAUGCAUAUAUAUAUAUAUAAUGGAUGAAUGUAUUAGUAUACUUUAAGCAUCAAUCUACCAUGUAGUAGUAGUGUAUAAAUUAAGCAUGCCUUUUUGUUUGACUUCAUAAAUCUUGUUUUUGACCUAAGAUUUUAAUCCGAUUGGUUAAUGCAAUCACCUUUAGAUUAAGUUCGAGUUUUAGUAUCCAUAAUUCUUUUCUUUAUUCAGAGAAAAAAAAAGUUAUUUCGAUUUUGUAUGAAUAUUAUUUCCCUUUUAGUUAUUGACGUUGUUGGUGUGAUGGUUCACUUGUUAGGCUAAUUGUGUACUUAAUAAUAAAAAUAGUUGGGUUAAUCAAUAUUGAAACUACUAGUAAAACUCGAAUAUUGAAAUUGAAUUAAUAUUUAAUUUCUUUUUCGAUAAAAAUUUUAAUUUAUUUAAUUUACUCAAAAUUUAACGAAUACAAACAAAAUAUAAAGGUUGUAUUAAAUAAAUUUAAUUUGAAUCGAUAUUGAAAUUGCUAGUAAAACUCGAAUAUUGAUACUUUAUGAAGGUAUAAGAUCACCAUAAACACAAAUACGCUUUCUAAAACACUAACAAAUGCUUAGAGAAAGUUAAAAAAGAUCAAUACUUACAUAAAAUACUAGUUCACUUUUAGUAAAACUCGAAUACUGAAACUUUGCAAAGGUAUAAGAUUAUCGAUAAAACACUAACGAAUGCUCGAUAAAAAACUGGGUUUUGCUAAACACGACCUAUUAGCGAAACUCUAGUUAUGAAAAAACAUUGAAAAUUUGAAUAAGAACACAAAGUAUGACUUGUUAAGAUGUUAAAAGAACCAGGUUUUUUGGUAAAACUCGAAAUUGCAUAAUUGCAACUAAAAUGAGAUGGUGUUGUUAAAAGGAAAAGCAUGGCACAUUUUUAUUUGUUUGGAUCGAUGGUGUACAAAUUGUCACAUUAUUGAGAACAAAAAAAAAAAAAUUGUAGAUAGUAAAAAAUGGGAAAAUUUGACUUGCUGCAACUUUUUGAACAAGUCAUUUUCCAUACAUUCACUUAUACUCUGCAUUAUUUGCAGUCACCAUUGCAGAUAUUAUUAAUAUUAAUGAAUAAAAAUAUUAUUAUUGGAACCAAGUUCCAACACCACAUGAGUGUAUACUACUGAUCACAACCCAUGAUGCCAUUUCUUUUUCUUUUUUUAUUUUCAUAAUUUUAUUUGACAAAUAUUAUUCAAGAUACUCUCCAAUACUAGUUUUUAAUAUUUAAUAUAUAUAUAUUAUAAUUGUCGAUUGAGUCUUAUCUCAAUUGGCAUGGACAUUAUUAUUAAUGUAGGAGGAUGUGGGUUUGAGUGUGUUAAAACACAUUAUCCUACUAAUUAUAGGUUGGGAAGGGCUAUAGAUAAUUCUGGACAUUGUGUCAAAAAGAACAGAUAUGUGUGUGAAACAUGUCGUAUUAAUUAUAUAUUUUUUGUACACUUGUAAUUUGGACUUAAGUUAUUUGGUGAUUGUUUGUAAUUUAAUUGAUAAUUUUAAGUGAAUAUUUUUAUCCAUUUAAAAAAACAAAUAAAAUUGUUGUUACGAUACGAUGAUGUCUAUAGUUUCAAAGGGAAUCACAAAUAACAUAUUAAAAUGAUUUUUUUUACAAGAUCUAGGAAAAUCUCCUAACUCGCCUAGACCAACUAUAUGAGUUCAAGCUAUUUCAGAGUAAUCAUCAUGCAGUAAUUGAAGAACUUUAUCUGACAGUUGCAUGUAUAUUAACUUGCCUAACGAUCUUGAGGAUGCCAUUCAUGCCAAUCCAUCCACUACCUUGUUUCUUUCCCUAAACACGUGUUUAGUCUGGAUCAUCCAAUCUAGUUGUAAGUGGUCCUUUAUAGCUCGUAGUACCAUAGAGUGAUGCUGUUCAGUUGAAUUUAUUUGAAUCAAAUAAAUAACUUCAGUACUAUCCAUCUCAAGUAUAAUUAUAAUUACAAAUAUAAUCACAAAUAAUAUGUUUGAAUAACUAUAAACCAGAAUCAAAUUAUUAAAAUGCAUGAAUAAAAUGAGAAUCAAAGUAUAUAUUUGGACUUAUACCAAAAUAAAUAUGAAUAGAACCCACAAAUUUAAAGACUAUAAACCAAAAAUAAAAGUCGAACCUAAUAUUUGCAUAUAUAUAUUACUAUGUUUAAAUGUUUUACUGAGUUGGUGUCACCCUUAGUCAAGGUUAUCAACUGAUCAAUAAUGAAUUUACCAAAAAAAAUUAUUUUAAUAAGCAAUAAAUAUUACUUAAAGGGUAAUUUUGUCUUUUUAUAUAAAAUCUAGAAAAAUACUUAGACAUAAUGGGAUUUGAACCCAAAACUUUACCCACAACCCCUCUUUAACCCAUAAAUAGUUGGAUAAUGCACUUCAACACACUUAAACUCACGUCCUCCUAUAUUGGCAACAAUGCUCUCAUACCAAUCGAGUUAAGACUCAAUCGAUUGUUAUUAUGUAUUUUUAAAUUUGUUACAAUAGUGUAUAUAUAUACUACUUAUAUUAAUUGAAUGAUAAAUUAGAGCUCCAUGCAUGCAAAAUUGUUAGUGGAUUAAACUCAUAAUAAAUUUAAGGGUUUGAAAUAUAAUAAUGAUUUCCCUCAAUCACAAAAAAAUAUCUUAGAAUAAAACCGAAGAAAGAUUUUCCUUACACAGAAGUUGCAAGUUUUUGGCACCCCUUGUGAUAGUGAGUACAAAAGUGAUGAAAUGAGUUAAUGAAAGGAGAAGUUGCAUAAUUAUAAUAUUAUGUCAAAACAAAAAAGUGAGUGAAUUUAAGGAUUGAAGACAAAAUUCAAGCAAUCCCCAUCAUCAGCAACAUAUCCGAUAAUCUGAUUAAGGUUCGUAACUAUCCUUUUUAAUAAUAUUAUUUUUAAAUUUUAAAAUACGAGUUUUUAAAAAUAUGGGUUUUAUUUGAUAACUUUAGAUGCACAUAUUUAUGUUUAUAAACUAAUGAACAAGUCAGAUCAUGAUCGAGGAAAAGAUCCCUCAGAAUUUUUUGAAAAUUUUAAUUAAACUCCUCCCUUUAAAAAUUUAAUUUCAAGAUUUGCUACUGAUUAUAAAUACCAUACAAAUACAAUGAAUUGUUUUUAAAAAAAGAAUUUAGGGUUUGUGAAAAAAAUUGUAAGGAUGUAAAUUUUUCCAAAAAUCAGAAGGAUUUGCAUGUUCCCGACAAUGUCAGGGUGUGGAAUGGUAUGAUGGGUUUUCCUUAAAAGGAAAUGAAAGGCUUAGGUGAGUUUAAAGCAUUUCAGAGAACUGAUACACCCAAACCCUUUCCUAUCAUGGCAUUUAAGGACAGGACACUACACUCAUUUACUUACAACCCCCCUCACCCCUCCUCCCUCCCUCACUCUUUUACAUAUCUAUCUCUAUAUUAUACCUAUAUGUAAUAUAGACCUGAUCAAAGAUCGAAUUGUCAAUAUUGAAUUAUUAAUUUAAUAUUUGAGAAAGUUUGAAAAAAAAUUGUUAAUAUCAACCAAAAUGAAUUUGAAUAAAAAAGUGGUUGGUUUACUUUUUAUAAUCAAUGUUUAAACUCAAUUCUUUUUUCUUUUUAUAGUUGGGAAUAGUCACGAAAUAUGUUUUAUUUUCACGAGUAGUGAUCGAAUCUUCAAUCACAUGAUUAAAGGAUGAUGUGAGUAAUCACCACAUUAUACAUUAUGGUUAGAGCCGAAACUAUUAUGCUUCACAAUAUAAUGCUCUCGCCAGUAAGGUCAAGAGGUUGUUGAUGACCUAACUUUUUUUUCAUUUCAUAAUUUGUUUAAAAAUAUAUAAUUAUAAUAUAAAUAUUAAAAAUAAGUAUGAGUUGUUUAUGUUUAGAAAUUGGUAAACUACGUUGUAGUCACUCAAUUAUUGGUAAGUUUUUUUUUUUUGGGUUACUUAGCUAUGAAAAGUUGUAAAAUGAUCAUCUAAUUAUUUGACUUUUUUUUUGCCACCAACUGUUAAAUGGUUGGUGGAAAAAUGACUUAUCAACUUUUAAAAUUGACAUAAUAACAAUUUUAACCUUCAACAUAUAUACAUUAUAUCAAUUUAGUCUUAAUUCUAAAAAAUUUAACUUUCAUUGUUUACACAUUAUGUAAUUUUCUCAUUUUUUUUUCUUUUCAAUUUUACUUUUUUUGGGGACCCUUUCACCUAAAAAGCUAAAAAAAAAGCCUAUAAACUAAAUUUGGUUGGAAAUAUACUAAAAAUGGGAAUACCCAAAAAUCCAAGAUAAUAAUUUUCAUCUUUUUUUUUAUUCUUUUAAAAUUAACUCUCAAUGUCACAAAUAAAAGUAAAAAUGCAAAAAAAAAAAAAGAAAAAGAAAAAAAAAAGAAGACUAAAUUAUACAAUGUGUAAAUAUCGAGGGUUAAUUUUUUUUGAAUUAAGACUAAAUUGACAUAAUGUAUAAAUGUUGAGGGUUAAAGUUUCUAUUAUGCCAAUUUUAAAAGCUGUCAACUUAUCUUUCCAUUAGUAAUUUAAUGGUUGGUGACAAAAAAAAAAUCGAAUGGUUGAGUAACUAAAAUUUUUUUAAAAAAAAUUCUUUAAUAAAAAUUAAAAUAUCAAAAUGCUAAAUAUUAAAUAAAAAAUAUGGACGAAUCUAAACAGGAUUAAGUUAGUCAUUUAUAAAGAUUAGUUAGCUUGAAUAAAAUUUGUAACUCGUAUUUUAAGUCCGGCCAAACUUUAGCGACUAUGUUUAAUAUAGAUACUAUAUAUAAGCCAAGCCCAAACCUAAUCCGAACUGAUAUUUGCAUACCUUUAAUUUAUAUCUGUAUAAGAUAUAUAAAAUAAUAAAUGGGAAACAUUUUUGAAGUUGAUGAUAAUUUUUUUAAUUAAUAAUUUGAAAUAAAAUAAUAUCUUAUUAUAUAUUAGAAGAUUAAAAAUUAUUAUUUUGUGAAGUGCAAAUUUUGUAAAAAAAAAUUACAAACUAAAUGAUAUCUAUUUAAAGAUUAGGUAGUGGGUUUGACUCGACUUAGGCCGGACUUGGAUAAGGAUUUUAUUUUUAAAAAAUUAAGAUAAAUAGAUUUUAAACAUUUCAAAUUUAAUUUUAAUUUAAUAUUAUUUAUAUUAACUUUGAGAUGAUUUUUUUUUUCUUUCAUUUUAACUAAUUUCUUUUCCAUGAAAACCUUCUGAUAAUAUUAAUUAAAUAAUUUUGAAUAAAAAAUAAUUUAAUGAGUUCUUCUUAAGAUUCAAUACAAAUUAUUUUUAUUUUUCUGGCACUUUUAAAAUUAACUUUUAAUAUUAGAAAACAAGUAAAAUUAUAAAAAAAGUUAAAUUAUAUAUAUGUAAAUAUUGAAGGUUAGAUUUUUUUAAAAUUAAGACUAAAUUGACAUAAUUUACACUUAUUGAGGGUUAAAGUUGUUAUUAUGUUAAUUUAAAAAGCUUUCAUUAUUAGCUAUUUGGCUAUCCAAAAAGAUAAAAUUGAAUAAAUGAAUGAUCAUUUUAUAAUGUUUUAUAGUUAAGUGAGAAAAAAAAUAUUAAUAGUUGGAUGACUGAAUUUUUUACAUAAAUAAUAUAAAAUUAAUAAUUAAUUACGAAAAUGGUUUGGAAAACAAAUUAAUUAGGAAAAUAAGCAUUUGCUACAAUUUUUCGCUAGUUCUGUUUAAACUAAGAUAUUCAGGACUUGAUAUGCAAAUUUCUCAUUUAGAUUGAAUGCUGUGUGGCGGCACCAAACUUUAAAUAGGGUUAAUUGCUUUGUAAACCUUCAUUAUUUAUUAUUUUCUUUUUAUUCCUUUUCAACACAAAAAAUAGAGAGGCCUCUUAGCAAUUAGUCCAAAAAAAUCUUUUCUACCAAAAAUUAUUUUGUAAAAAAGCUUAUUCUAACUGGAAAUAAAUUUUAUUUAUUUUUCGAAAAAUAAUUUUUCUAUUCAAAUUAACAGUUAACAGAAAAAUCUUAUUAUGCAUAAAUUAUAAUUAUUAGUUAAAUUUAUAGCUUCCAGAUAUAAUGCAAGCAAAAGAAAACUACUAUAAAUACUGUUAACUGUUAUGUCAGACAUAAUUUGAACAUAAAAAUUAUUUUUCGAAAAAUAAAUAAAAUUUAUUUCUAAUUGGAAUCGAUUUUUUUACAAAAAUACUUUUUGGACUAAUUGGUAAGAGGCCUAUCUAUUUUUUGUAUUGAAGGGGAAUAAAAAAUAAAUAAAUAAGGAGGAUUUAUGAAGCAAUUAACCCUAUUUAUAGUUUAGUGUGGUAUUGAUCGACGCCCUUAAAUAUCUAAAUUUUUUUUAACAGUCAAUUUAAAUAAGAAAUCUACAUAUCAGGUACUUGAAUACUUUAAUUUAUCACAUUUUAAUUUGGUGUCACUAAUAUGUCAAGCGACACCGAUGAAACACUGUAAUAAAUACCUAUUUUCAUAAUUAAUCUGUUUCCCAUAUCAUUUUUAUAAUUAAUUAUUAUUUUUAUAUUAUUAAUGUAAAAUAAUCUUGAAUGACUACUAGUAUAAUUCACGCGUAUUGUAAAAUCGGGCUGGACCAAAUUUAAACUCGGAUAAAAAAAAAGUUUUCAAACCGGGCCGCGGCCCCGUAAUAUAACUGUCAAUAAAUGUUUUUUUUUUUCAUUUGGAUAAGGUGGAAAAGGAUACAAUUACAAGGUUCCACUUAAUUCAAAGCGAAAUGGCGGUCUCCACUUCCACAGUCUCUGCUUCAGUCCCUCCAUAUCUUUGCUGCAACACCACCAAAAUUCCCUGCUUUAAAGUCCCACACCACACGCCACUACGUUUAUACAAUGCUAAAAGAACGCAGAUUUGGGUCAAGAGGAGCUGUUUCAAGUCACCCAUCACUGCUAAAGUCGCUCAACAAAACGAUUUGCAGUAUAGGAAGCUCGGCGACUCUGAUCUUCAAAUCAGUGAAAUCACAUUGGGAACUGUAAGAGCUUUGAUUUCUUGAUAAUGGGUAUUUUUCUGUUUUGUUGAAAGGGAUUUCUCUUCUUUUUUUUUGUUGGGUUUGAAUUGUUGGUCUUUUGUUUUGGGGAAGUAAAUGAUUUGAAGAGAAUGAGAUUUAAAUGAAUUUAGCUUGAAUGAAUGCAUCACUUCAUGUUUGUUUGUUUAACUUUUUAGGAUUAUUAGUGUUUGGUUCAUGAUGAUUAAGAAUUUUUGAAUGGUUAAAUGCUGCUACUAGUCCGAUUAUUUUUAAUUUUUUUACUUUUUGAAUUAUCAAAAUGCAGGCUAAUUAUUAAAUUCAUUUACUUUUUGGGUAAAAGUACAUUAGAUCAAAGGUUAACUAGUUCUUCUAUUUAAAAUUUUAUCAAAUUCCUGUGUUAAAAAUUAAUCUUUGACCAUAUACAUGAUACGCCACAUGUCACAAUUUGGUUAUUUCAUCAUCCUUACCGGUUGUUAACCCUACAAAUAGAUUAAAUUUUUAGCAGAAAGAACAUAUUUGUUCUUGAAUUUAAUGUAUAGAGAUUAAUUUACCUAUUUUUCAGCAAAGGUGGGAAAAUGUAAUCUAGCUUCUUUUAUAGUACUUUUUCCUUAAACUUUUGCUAUUCCCAAAAUUUGACCCGUCAAAUAUAUUAUCAUAUAUGUAAUAUUGUGUUAGUGUUUAUUUUCACAUAUUAUUCACAAAAAGACAGUUAAUGGAUUUAAUUGCAUUUGUUUGCAUAAAAACUGAAAUUUUAAAAUUCUAAAAUUAUGAAGACUAAGAAUGAUCUAAUUGGAGAAUAUGGAUUAAAUCUAAUAUUUUAUUCAUAGCACAUGAUAAUAGCCGGAUUUAACCAACUGGAUUUAACUGUUACCAUUUGGGUGUAGAUGAAAUUUCAACAGAGACUAAAUUCAUAAUUUAGGCAUAGUGUAGGGACUAAUAACAUAAUUUAGCCAUUUUUGAAUUGUGUUGGUUUUUUUUUUUUUUCUUCAUGAACUUUAAACUAAUAUUAAACAAGCUUUAAAUAAGUUUUGUAUAAUUUGUUAAACGAAUAUAAACGAGCUUCUUCUAAUCUGAACAUGCUUUAUUAGUAUUUAGUUCAUUAGACGAGUUUCAAAAUCUUGUUAAUAUUUAUUUUAUUUAGCUUGAUAAUCGAACAUAAAGGAACAAAGACCGAAUUGUUUAUGAACUGUUUAUCGAACAUUCGGUUUUACAGCCUUAUAUUUGAUUGCUUCAGAUGACAUUUGGAGAACAAAAUACAGAGAAAGAAGCUCAUGAAAUGCUCAGCUAUGCUUUUGAACACGGCAUCAAUGCUCUCGAUACUGCUGAAGUCGUAAGUUCUUUGGUGUGCAUAUACUGUAUACGGGCUGUAUUUUUUCUCUAGUUUGGAGUUUGAGUUUUGUUCGAUAUCUUCACUAAGUUUUUAAGUGCCACUAAAGCUCUCUCUUGCUCAUGCUUUCGAUUUCCCAGUACCCGAUUCCCAUGAAGAAAGAGACGAGUGGAAGAACCGAUCUCUACAUUGCUAGCUGGCUGAAGUCUCAACCUCGCGAUAAGGUACUUUUUUCAUACCAGAUGACAUAUUUGUGUUCCUGACUCGAAAUUUUCGAGAUACUGUUGUAUUGUCUCAUCCCUCGUGAAUAUCUCGAUGAGCUUAUGUUUUGUACUACUUGAGUAUUGGUUGAGGAAUUGAUUUGAGUACUGGUUUCUACGUGCAUAUUUUCCGCAGGUUAUUUUGGCAACAAAAGUAUGCGGCUAUUCAGAACGAUCGGCUCACCUACGUGACAAUGCAAAAGUUUUACGGGUUGAUGCUGUGAACAUUAGAGAAAGCGUAGAGAAAAGCCUUAAAAGACUCAACACCGAUUACAUUGAUUUACUGCAAAUUCAUUGGUAAGGUUACAGUUCUUUUAGGUGCAUCCAUGUGACGGUAGGCAUUUACAGACAUGGCAUCAACUUGCUUGUACUGGUGUUUUACUAUGUAAAAAAGUACUUUUUAUUACCAUGUCUUGUCAUAAUCGUAUCCUUAUCUCUUAAAAGUUAUCGUAUGUACCUGAGUAGUAUGUCUGCGUAUGUGCUUCAUUGAUGUAAUCAUAUUUUCUUGAACUUACGGUUUCAACCAGGCCAGAUCGUUAUGUGCCGUUGUUUGGUGAGUAUUUCUAUGAUUCUUCAAAAUGGCGACCAAGUAUACCGUUUGUGGAACAACUUAAGGCUUUACAAGAAGUCAUCGACGAAGGAAAGGUAAUAAAAAACAGAGAUCAAAUUAAAUCCGAUUGCUGUUGGAAAAUCUUAUGUUACUCUAUUUAUAUAUGAGUGUCAGAUAUGCAUACAACUGUCGGAAAAUCUGCUUGUUAUAUUUAAUCAGUUGUUUGAAGAUGUCACAAAUACUAAGAUUUGUAUAUGAAUGCUCUUCGAUUUCAGGUACGCUAUAUCGGAGUUUCUAAUGAGACUUCGUAUGGAGUAAUGGAGUUUGUUCAUGCAGCUCGAGUUGAAGGACUAUCAAAGAUCGUUAGUAUCCAAAACAGCUAUAGUCUACUGGUCCGGCGUUUCGAGGGUAAAACUUAUCCAAAAUCUAUAUAAAUGUUAUACUAGCAUCUCAAUAUCUCGCUGUUGCAUCGAUUUAGUUGUUCCUGAAGUUUCGAUUCAUAUGCAAAGACCAACAAACGAAAUGACCCCGGCAUUGAACCUCUGCUUAGCGGAGCCUUGGUCUUCUCUCAGGAUUGAAUCAGUUCUGGCUAUGCUUAAUCUAAAUUCGUUUUCUUGUGCUCCUUCCGGGUAUUUUCUGAACAUAAACAUGUUUGAGAAUUCAGUAACAUUUUCCUUUUGCAGUCGACCUGGUCGAAGUUUGUCACCCGAAGAAUUGCAAUAUUGGGUUACUUUCUUACUCUCCGCUCGCCGGUGGAGCGCUAAGCGGAAAAUACUUAGAUAUCAAUUCCGAAGCGGCAAAGAAAGGGAGGUUGAACCUUUUCCCUGGCUACAUGGAAAGAUAUAACAAGUCAAUUGCCAAGGUAUAUAUGUAUGUUGAUGGUUGAAAUGCUCCCUCUACUAAAAAGAAUAGGCAAAUUACUCUUUCUACGUUAAAAACUUCAUCAAUUUGUACAGUUAAAAAACUGGCAUGGCUUCCGAAAUAAUCACGUAGUAACAUGUGGUUGCCAUGUGUAUCUCAUGCUGACGUACUUGGACUAAUUUUUAACAAUAAAAAUGGAUGAAAAUUUUAACAUAAAGACUAGUUUGCUCUCUAAUCUAACAUAUAGGGAUUAAUUUAUCUAUUUUUUUAGUAGAUUGAGUAAAAUGCAAUUCUACCCCUAAUACCAGUGCCUACAUGGUAUUUUUACUAAUGAUUGACGUAUUGGUGGGGAUUUUCAGGAAGCAACAAUGCAAUAUAUUGAGAUGGCGAAAAAGCACCGAUUAAGUCCCGUUCAACUCGCGCUCGGGUUUGUACGAGAUCGUCCGUUUAUGACGAGUUCGAUCAUCGGCGCAACCUCGGUUGAGCAGCUGAAGGAAGACAUUGAUGCAUUUCUAACAACUCAACGGCCUUUGCCACCAGAGGUAAUGGAAGAUAUUGAAGCCAUUUUCAAAAGAUACAAAGAUCCUGCCAUUCUCUGAGAUCAAAGAUAUUCAUUUUCUUCAGAUUUUUUCAUUUUUCUUGAAGUAUCCAUGCUCGUAUCUUUGCUCGAUAUCAACAUUAAGCUUGACCAAAAAAGUCAGAGAAAACCGAAACCGGUUCAAGCCGACUAUUCGGUUCAGUUUGAUAUUCGGUUUCAUUAUUAUUAUUAUUAUUAGUGAUAAACAAGAAAACAAAAUUACAUCAAUGGAAAUUGGACAAAAGCAUCAUUAGCCUCUUGUUGAAUAAGCUCUAAAACUUCAUUCGGGGCGCCAUUAAAGACUUGUCUUUCCCACUAAGCUCAUUUUGGCCAAACAAUCAGCACGGUGUUACGAGUUAUUUGAGUAUUAAUUCCAUUACUUUAGAAAGUAAAAUGAUUGUCUUUUUACAUCUUUUAUAUAAAAAUAGAAAAGGCAGAAUCUCUUAUUUAGCCCUUCAACUUUGCAAAAAGGGUCAUUUUAGCCCUUCAACUUUUUUCGGCCUCUUUUAGCUCUUCAAAUUACCGUGUUUGUCAUUUUAGCCCAAAAUGGACAAAAAAUACAUGAUAAAAUUUGAAGUUAAAUGUUAUAAUUUUUAAUAUCUUUAUUUUAUCAUUUUAACUAAAGUCUCAUUUCUUAUUUAUAUCAAAUUUUUAUAAAUAUAUUUGUUACAAAUUUUAUUUUUCACUAUGCAUGAGUCUUAUGCACGGUCAACGAACAACAUAGCAUCUAGUUAUUGGUGAAAUAAAAAAUAAUGAAAUAUUUAUAAAUAAAUACUGAUAACUUUAUUUAAACAAACAUUUGAAACUCAAUAUAAAAUCAUAAAUCUUUAUCUGUAAAUUAUAAACUCGAAAUUUAAGAAAAAAUAAUUAUAAUUAAUAUUUAAUUAUAUUUAAAUUAAAUUAUUAAUAUUUAUUUAUAACUCUUUCACUAUUUUUUGUUUUAUCUAAUCGUGUUGUUAUUGAUGAUGAUACACUAAACUCAUUCUCUGACAAGAUCCUCAUUAUAAAUUUAUACCUAAAUUUCAAAACAUUCUAAUUAAAUCCUUAAACUGUCGAUGUUAUAUCAAUCAAGUUCUUUCAUUAUUAAACACGUUAAAUUUUAUAUAGCAUAAUUUAAAAUAAAAAUUGUAAAGUAAGGCAAAACCUUGUCACAUAACUAUUACAAGUAAAAACUAAAAAUAAAGGUAAAAAAAAAAAAAGAGAGAGUGAGUGAUAAAGUUUCUAUAAAAGUUACAAUAAACCUCAAAAACAAGAUUUUUAAAACCCAUUUUUACAAUAUUCAUUUUAAAUUAUACUACAUGAGAUGUAAUGUCUAAUAUAAUGGUUGAAUUAAUGAUUUUAGUCCCUUCCUCAUUAUAUAUCAAGAAUGUAGACAAGGGGAUAAGGGGAUAGGUAGUGGCCUUGCCCCUCCUCACAAAAAUGUUAAAUAUGCGUUUUAGUCCUUUAGAAAUUUAUGAAAUUAGAAAUUAAUAUAAUAGUAAAAUUAUAUUGUGACUCUCCCAAAAAUUUUAUGGUUCAUAUUUAGCCCACUAAAGAUAAUUUUCUAGUUUCGUUCCUAAUUGAUAUAAGAUGGAUAGUUUGAAAAUGUAUAUAAAAUAUUUUAAAAUUUAGGGACUAAAUUAAAAUAAAGAUCAAAUGUUUGAUAUAAUUAACUCGUAUUUAUAUAAAAGUAGAAUUUUAUGUUUGGCCAAGUGGAAAAUAAAAGGAAAGAGAAAGAAAAUUUGGAGGAGGUUAAGUUAGUUAGAAGAAGAAAACUUGGGAGCAAGAAAAGUAGAGCGAAAAUGUCUCCUUUCUCUCCCUUUCACCACUUACUCUCCUCUCAUUUCGCCACUUCUCCCUCACUCUGUUUUUUUUCUCAUUCUCUCCAAUCCAUUUCCACACCAAAUCAUCAAUCAAUCAACAACCAAAUCCUAAUUCAAAUAAAUAUGCCAUUGGGGUCAUGUAUUUUGAGUUUGGAAAUUAGGGUUCUUAUUAUCAUUGAUGAUCAUCUAAGACUAGUGGUGAGUUUUUUUUUGGAUGAAGGUGUAGUAAACUUGGGGAUUUUGAUUGUUUGAUGAACGGCCACAUGCAUCUAUGAAGACAAGGUCAAGGGAGCCGCCAUUUCACUACCUGAUGAUUGAGUGCCUUCGUCUUUCCCGGUUUCCUUUUAAAUGGAAUGGCAGAUCUUGUUCAUUAUGGCAAUUCUGAACGCGACAUUGAGCAAGUAAUUUCCCUUUUUUUUUAAAGCAUUCGUAUUUGACAUUCAUAUUCAAGUGAUAUUUGAAUAAAAUCUUCUAUGGAUUCUCCGAUUAUGAAAAAAAUUAGAAAGGAAAUAAAUAUAUUAUCUCCUUGUAUACUAAUGCCAUUAUUUGAUGAUAGUGGAGAGGAAUUAGUAUAAAAUUAAUUUAGAAUUUUUUUGAAUUUUUUUGUAUGAUUUGUAUUUGUAUAAUUUGAAUGUUUUAUUUCAUAUGUUAAAUGACUAAUUUUAAUAUUAUCUAAGAAUAAUGAUCUCAAUAAAUACUAUAUAUAUUGGAUUAAUAUGAAAAUUUAUGUGUAUGAUGAGUACAAUUAUAUGGAUUUGAUAAUAUAACCAUGCUCAAAGUAUAUAUAGUUUACAAUUGAUUAAACAUCUCUAUAAUACCAAUCAAUAAUAUUUUUUAGAGGUUUAAAGGUUGAAAAUAGUUUAAACAUUCUUCAUUUACUUGCAAUUUGAAUUUAUAUGAAUAGACGAUAAAAUAUAAUAAUUUGAUUAGCGAAUAUAAAAGGUACAAAAAAAUGAUCAAAACUAUCUAAAGCUAAAUUAAUUUUAUAUUGAUAUAAUUAAAUCCUUUCUCAUAUGUGUGUUUGUUUAUAUUUAGAUGAAAGUAAGAGGAUUCUAUAAUAAUCCAAAAGAUUUUGAUCUAUUUGUAUGUGUUGUUUAUUUUUGAUUUCUUACCCUUUGUUUUGAAGGCAAUUAUUACUUUGAAAAAGGGCACUCAACUACUCAAAUAUAGCCGUAAAGGAAAACCUAAGUUUCGAGCAUUUAGACUUUCCCCGGUGAGUUACUUUCUCUUCAAUCUCAUUAUAUAUCAAUGUACUUUUGGCUGUGGAAUAAAUGCAUUAUCGUUCUAUGUUACUCGAACUUGGAUGUAAGUGUUAGAUACUAGUUCGUUCUGGCACUAGUAUGUUCUAUGUUUUUCUACAAAUUUGCAGGAUUUUUAGAAGGUUAUAUUCCCAUAUUCAUGUUCAGAUAGGCAUAGGACACGAGUAAAAAAUGAAGAGUCGGAGUAACAUACUUACAAGGUGUUUGUAGUUCUAUAAUAUGGAUUUUUGUUGUAGUACAAUCAUCUGGGCUUAGCAUUUUGGACUUGUGAUGAUGUGUGAAUCAAGGUCAUAACUUAUCUUAGUGGAUGGCUGACAUUUUAAGUUUGAUGACCAACUAUAGAUAAGUUCUUCACAUAAUUUGUUUGAAUAAGUUCGAGUAACAUAGAUAAGCAAGAGGGGCAUUUAUGUAGCUCUAAGUCAUACAAAUACAUAUACAUAUAUGCAUGUGCAUAUGGGUGUGUGUUAUCUUAGAAAGCAGGUAUUAAUAGAAAAGCAUAUACAGUUCUCUCAGUAAUCUUAAGUGCAUAUAUGAUUUCAGUUUUAGCUGUAUUAACAGGAUGAAACGACAUUAAGAUGGUUAUCACAUGGAGAAGAGAAGAAUCUAAAAUUAAGCUCUGUCACUCGUAUCCUUCCUGGACAGAGAACUGUAAGUUUAAUUUCGGCUUUUCAUUUUUCCCAGUUAAUGGUGAAUGUUGUAGUUUAAAUAGCCUUAUUUUUCUAUGUCAUAUCACUAAGAUUUCAAUGCAAAGAAAAGAAAAAAAAGGGUUAAAACCACAGUUUGCUAAAUUCUACAGGCUGUUUUUAGAAGAUUUUUGCGCCCGGAAAAGGAGUACUUGUCAUUUUCACUUCUAUAUAAUAACGGUGAUAGAUCUCUUGACUUGGUUAGUACCAGUUAUCAGGUAAUCUGCUAUUUAUUUUAUAUUAGUUGAAUGGUAAAUUUGAAUACAGUGAUUGCUGUUGUCUACCUCAAUAGAUCUGCAAGGACAAAGCUGAGGCUGAAGUGUGGUUAGCAGGUCUUAAGGCAUUGAUUGGACAAAAUCGAAAUAGGCGAGCCAAAAGUGAUUUAAGUGAUGUGAGUUCUGCUUUCCACAUACAUAUGCAUAUAACAGAACUGUAAUUCAUCGAUUAGGAGAGAGCUUUGCCUUGAUUUAAAGUGGAACAAUCUGUCUGACAUAUUUCUAGGAAAGAAUAACUAAAAAUUGCAUUUGAUACGGUCUUUUGGACGAUGUAUACAGGUCGAGUUGCCAUUAUAGUUAUAAGAGUUUAGUGAAUGUAUGCCUAUAUUUGUUGCGUGCUCAUUAGAUUUGUAUCUUUAUUGACUGACUUCAAUAUCAUUUGUGACAGCUACAAAACAGUUUCUUUCAAAAUGGUCGCCCAUUUGGUGUAGCUCUAGAUUUCAGCCCUAGUAUUGCCAGCAGUAGUGCGUCUAUAGAUCUUGGGGGCUCAGAUGCGGGGUCAGAACGUGCAAGUAUGCAGGUGAGAUCUAGCGGUGCAGAUGGUUUCCGACUUAGUGUUUCAAGCACUCCUAGCUGUUCAAGUGUUGGAUCUGGGGGUCCAGAUGACAUAGAAUCAUUAGGUGAUGUUUACGUAUGGGGAGACGUUUGGGCUGACGGAUCAGAUGGGACUGUAAGCGCAGUUUCACCAAAAAUCGAUGUGCUAAGUCCUAAGCCCUUGGAAUCAAAUGUAGUCCUUGAUGUUCAUCAGAUAGCUUGUGGUGUAAGACAUAUUGCUCUCGUAACAAAGCAGGGUGAAGUUUUCACCUGGGGUGAGGAAUCAGGUGGCAGACUUGGCCAUGGAAUUGAAAAAGACUUUAGCCGCCCCCGAUUAGUUGAGUUCUUGGCAGUAACUAAUGUGGAAUUUGUUGCAUCCGGAGAAUAUCAUACAUGUGUUGUAUCUACAGCUGGUGAUUUAUUCACUUGGGGUGAUGGUACUCAUAAUGCUAGACUCCUUGGCCAUGGCACCGAUGUUAGCCAUUGGAUCCCAAAGAGAGUUUCUGGGGCAUUAGAAGGACUGCAAGUCUUAUCCAUUGCAUGCGGCACUUGGCAUUCAGCUCUGGCAACUUCUAAUGGCAAGCUAUUUACAUUCGGUGAUGGAACAUUUGGUGUUUUGGGCCAUGGAGAUAGGGAAAGUGCUGCAUAUCCAAAAGAAGUUCAACUGUUGAAUGGCCUAAAGACUAUUAAAGUUGCAUGUGGGGUAUGGCAUACAGCAGCCAUUGUCGAGGUUUCAGGCCAGUCCGGUGCUAACAUUUCAUCGAGAAAAUUGUUCACCUGGGGUGAUGGCGAUAAACACCGGCUGGGUCAUGGAAAUAAAGAAACUUAUCUACUUCCAACCUGCGUCUCUUCACUAAUCGACUACAACUUCCACCAGCUAGCCUGCGGACAUACUAUUACAGUUGCACUUACUUUAUCAGGUCAUGUUUUUACCAUGGGGGGUACUGCAUAUGGUCAACUAGGCAACCCAGGUUCUGAUGGAAAAUUACCAUGCCUGGUACAAGAAAAACUGGUAGGUGAAUUCGUGGAAGAAAUUUCUUGCGGAGCAUAUCACGUUGCUGUACUGACAUCAAGAAGUGAAGUAUUCACUUGGGGAAGAGGUGCCAAUGGAAGACUAGGACAUGGUGACAUAGAAGAUAGAAGAACUCCAACACUGAUUGAAUCAUUGAAGGAUAGACAUGUCAAAAAUAUAUCAUGUGGUUCAAACUUCACUUCCUGUAUAUGCAUCCAUAAAUGGGUAUCGGGUGCUGACCAGUCAGUUUGCUCUGGCUGCCGGCAGGCAUUUGGUUUCACUAGAAAGAGGCACAAUUGUUACAAUUGCGGACUGGUGCAUUGCCAUGCCUGCAGUUCCAAGAAAGCAUUGAAAGCAGCAUUGGCUCCAACUCCUGGAAAACCUCAUCGCGUUUGCGAUGCUUGCUACAUAAAACUGAAAUCUGCUGAAGUUGGAAAUGCGUCAAAUUUGAAUAGAAAAUCUGCUGGUCCACGUCCCUCAAUUGAUGGCAGGGAAAGAUUAGAUAGAGGAGAGAUAAGGUCUUCCAGGCUUUUACUCUCUCCCAACACAGAACUGGUCAAAUACCUUGAGAUAAUGACAGGUAAACCCGGGACUCGAUUCGAUGCUGCUUCUCAAAUGCGAGGUUCCCAAGUCCCAUCGACGUUACAGCUUAGAGAUGUCGGACUUCCAAGUACAUUUGUUGCUUUUCAAAAUGCUUUUAAACCGGCUACUCCUCCAGCAACACCACCAACUCAGUCCCCUAUUAACUCAAGAUCUAGUUCACCGUACUCAAGGCGACCAAGUCCUCCACGCUCCAGUACAAAUACAUUUUCAAAGAACGUUAUCGAAAGCCUGAGGAAGUCAAAUGAACUUCUGAACCAAGAAGUGUCAAAAUUGCAAAAUCAAGUACCAGUGAUAUACCUAUUUGCUGUUCUGUUAUGAUCACUACACACUGCUUGUGUUAUCCAUGCAGCUUGCCAUCAAAAGUAAUUUUUUUUUCUCUACUUUUUGAGUGAUAACAGGUAAAAAGUUUGAAGCAGAAAUGUGAUACGCAAGACAUGGAGAUUCUGAAACUACGGAAAAAUGCUCAAGAAUCUGCUUCAUAUGCUGUAAAGGAAUCAUCCAAGUUUAAAGAGGCCAAGGAAGUUGUGAAAUCCAUCACAGAUCAGGUACAUUAGGUUUUAACUCAACAUUUCAGUUUGCCUUUAGACAUAAAUCGGCACCAUCUACAACAAUACCUACUGAUAGUACAAUUCGAUAUUGUUAUACAGUUGAAGGAAAUAAUAGAGAAGUUGCCUUCUGAUGUUUCUGAAAGUGAAACCCUUAAAGCUAUGAAUACACAAGCUGAAGCAUUCUUAAAAACUCAUGGAACAACUGAAGCUUCAAUGGAGUCUUCAAAUGAUCAGAGGAUGGAGUAUAGUGUGGACACCACAGCUGUACCAUCUACCUAUAGCUCAGAAAACGAAUCAAGAUCAUCCGAGGCUUCAGCGGUUAGAGGUGGUGUAGAAAAAGAAAUUACCGAGCAAUUCGAACCUGGAGUCUACAUCACUUAUGUUAAUCAUCGAAAUGGAGGGAAGAUCUUCAGACGAGUUAGAUUCAGGUACUUUUAGACAGGUUCAGGGCAAGUUAUAGAUUUUUGUUUUUGCUUACAAUCUUACUGCAGGUAAACAUGGUUGGAUAUGUAGAACUAGUUCUGAAAUAGCUCCACAUCUUUGUCUCACUCGAUUUCGCAUAUACAUGCAUCGCACAGACACGAACAUACACAUGAGAAUUGUACCAUGGACACCUAUUGAUUUGCAUGAUGAGGUCUUAAUCUCACUGCCUCAUAUCGACUCCAACAUUCUUUUUCUUUUCACAGCAAACGAAGGUUUGAUGAGACACAAGCUGAAGAAUGGUGGAGCAAAAAUAAAGAUAGGGUGCUUAAAAGGUACAGUCCACAUGCAACUAAACCGGCUUCUUCAACGGCAUUAUCCCUUACUCAACCACCACCACAACCAGUUGUUGAUGAAACCACUGAAGCAGCACCUCCUCCUUAAACUUAGUUUCAUAAAACUUGGUAAUGUAGAAUAGAAAAAAUAUAAAGUGGCUAUCUUGAUUCGCGAUUGCAGCAAUAUUACGGAUCAACAAUUAGCGGAUGUAUUCGGUUUUAGAAAAAAAAGAUUUAGCUAAUGGAUAAAUUAGGAUACAAGGAAUUUCCAUCACUUUAAGGGAAGAAAAGAAGGUACACGUAACUGUUUGUUACUCAUUCUUUGUUUCUUAUUCUUUUUGUUUUGAUCAUGUAUUAAUCAUUUAAACCAAAUGCUUGGUUGUAUUGGACACUGUUUUAUUACUUUAUAAAUGCAUGCUUUUAUAUACACAAAUACAUAUAUAUAGGAAAAUAAAAUGAAUGAAUGGUUAAUAUUUAUUAUCAGCAAAACUUAUAUAUACACACAUAAACUAAGGUAAGAUAAUUAACUCGAUAUCUAGCUUGAGUAGCUCGAGUUUGUCUAAACAAUACAUCAAAACUUUUUAUUAAACAGCUUACGUGUCUUAUUUUUCAUUAUGCUAUAAAGGGAAUAUAAAGAAAUACCAGAAGUUUUGAUAAGAAAAAUUGCAGCAAACAAAGCAAUAUCCUGCUAUUAAACUCACUAUAAAGUAUGUAACAUAGCAAACAAAGAUCUCUCAACUGAUCUUUAAUCUUUUUAAUCAUUUGUAAAUAAAAUAAAAAAUUACAUAAAAGAAAAACCUGCAGAAUGUUUGAUGACAAAAACUAACAAAAAUCCAUGAUUCAAUAUCAAAUUGAAGAUGCAUUCUCCUUUUUCAGCUUAGUAAGUUCUUGCUUGAUGACUCCAGACCUCUGCAAAACCGUAUUACAGCUCGUCAAGCUUCGAUUGAAGUUUUGAGUAAGUGUUUUCAAGAAAAGAACUCUGGUAUAAAACGGGUAGACACAAUAGGGGGUGUAUCAGAAACUGACCUUGAUCUUAGCCAACAUAAGCUUGAACCUGUCGAAGUCGUUGAGAGAUGCUCUUCUCUUCUGGACAAUCAACUUUCUACCCCACGAGCUACUUUCCCAUUUGUUCUUAACAUCUGCAAGUUAACAUAAGAGUGAUAAGAAAGAAAACAUAUCUUCAAGAAAUGACAUUGCAAAUGCUGGUGAAAGCUGUCGUCAUCCUUACCAGCCUUCUCCAUAGCUUCGAUCAAUGUCUUCUUCUUAGGAACACGGGGAAUGUCAAUUGUGAUAUCUGUCAAUGUAAGCCUCUUGAAGUUCAUUUGGCCUCUUACCAUAUCCGGGGCAUCAACAAGUGCCUGCCAUAUAAAAGAUACAGUCACUUCUUACACGCACAUCUCCAAAUAACACCUAUAGAACUUCAACUAGACUCGUUGGCAGAUAAAACUCCACAUUUAUCCUUUCUCUAAGCUAACAUUGCUAAUCAUGUAAAAUGGCAUGCAUAUAUGUACCAUUAUUAACCAGGUCAACGAAUGCAGUAACAAACAUUCACACCUAAUCCAUAUAAAGUUAGACCAAUGUUUUUCUCCGAAUGUUUCAGUUUUCUUCUAGAGGCAUCCUUGUCCGACACAAACACCUCAAAUCCGAGAUGGGUAACACAGUCCUGACCCUCCAAAUAUACGGGAAAAAUUAUCAUGCAAUCUUAAAACAUACUUAUAUCCACCAUUCUCUCCUAAGUCCAAGAACUUAGGGUUAGCACAGGUCUUAAAAUACCUAAGGUUGUUUGAACCGGAUCAGACUGACCAAGGCAGCGGUCAGGAGUGGUACAUUGAACCAAUUGACCCGGGAACUGCUACGAAGAGGUUGAACCAGAUUUUUAAUGUUUUUAUGAUUUUUUAAUGAUUUAUUCAAUCAAGCCGGACAGACAGGUCGCUUGACUAAUUCGACCACCGGUCAGGUUCUAAAAACCUUGAAAAUAGCACAUAGCACAAGGCAGAUUCAUUUCUGCAUCAACCGCCCAUGAAUAAAAAUAUAAACAUUGAGAAUCCAUUUUUAUCCAAACUCUAGAGCAACAAAAACCACAAAUUAAAAUCAAUCUAAGGAACAAAAUCCAUUAAAAACCCUAAAACUCAUGAUGUAAACAUUGAAAUUCCCCCUUAAAACACCCAUUAUAUAUUGACUACAAAAAGAUAAAAAAGCAAAAUGCCAUAUUCUAUAUAAAAUCUGGGGAAAAGAAAAGAAACAUACCCUGUUCUGGUCGACGACAUCAACGAUGACGACCAACUUGCCGUAGUCUUUGCCGUAGUUAACGAGAGCCACUCUCCCGAUCUCGACGUAUCUCUUAAACGGCUGCAACAAUCAAAGAAAAAAAAAUUAAAAAUGCAGGUAAACGACUAAGAAACAUGGAAAAAAAUAGUAACUUUAGUAGAUAUUGAAAAAAAAAAAAAGAACUCACCAUUUUUGGUGUUUGUGUGUGUGAGAUAGUGUUGGAUAUGGAAGAGAGUGGCGGAGAGGGAAUUAAAAUAGAGGAGUUAGGGUUUAUAUAUUAUAGGGUGGUUUAAUAGAGGAUUCUUAAACGUUGGUCAACUAGGUUUUUUGGGAUAAAGCGAUAUUUAGUCCUUGAAUUUUUCACAUUAAUUCUGAAAUUUGGUAACUUUUCUUGAUUCACUCUCUAAACUUGAAUUCUUUUUAAACAAACAAACUCUAAACUUGAAUUCUAUUAAGAUAUAAUGAUGUGAAGCUUUAAAAUUUUUUAAUUUUUUAUAAAAAUUAUAGAUUUUAGAUUUUAUACUUAAACAAAUUAAAAAUUAAUUUUAAUCGUUAACCUCAUUAAUAUUUCAUCAAAAUUUGCUUACCAUUACUCAAUAAUAAAUUUCUUUUUGUUUUGGAUCAUAAUAAAGGCGAUUGAUUAAUGGAAAAUUUUCAAUUCGGGCCCUCUCAAAAGUAAUACUUCAAUUUACGUCAUUUUCGGCUUUUGAUUAAAUGGAAAAUUAGCUUUUGUGGCCAUUUAAAAAAAUGAAUAAUUCAAUUUAAGAUUUUUCAAUAUUUUUUUUAGCUUUGGCCCCUCUAAAAUUUUAUAAUUUUAUCUCGACCCUCUUGAUACAACAUUCCUGAAUUCACUCUUGAAUGUCAACUAUUCAACUAGGAUUUUUAUAUCGAAAAUAUAAAAAUACUUUUUUAAUUACUUUGACUAAAUCUCAAAAUUUACUCAAGUAUAAGGACUGAUAUCAAAAUUUGACCAAAACUAAAUGACAAGGUGAAUGCAAAGCAAUGGCAUUGCCAUUGAGCUAGAGUCCAAAGGAAUAGUGUAUUUUGUAACUUCUUAGUGUCAUCAUGUUCAUGUCAUUUUUUUAAAUUUAGGUCUGGACAUCAAUAGUUCAGUCAUAUUCAUGUCAUGUAAUGGUAUCCAGACAUUUUGAACAGAGUGCGGUAUUAUGUUAACACUCAAAAUCUCGAGACAUAUACAUGCAUGCAUGCAUUCAUGUCAUGCAUAAGUUAUGAACAAGGCAACAAUUCUUAAAAAGAAACAGAUCUCCAUACAUAAAAUCCAACCAGUAUAGAUAUACCAGAUACAAACAUUUCAUUAUUAACAUACAUUAUUUGCUUUUUUCUUUUUCGCAACGAAACGAAAACCAUAACUAAACAAAAGCAGGGGACUAGGUAAACACUGGUACCAGUUUGAUCCAGCUGGUUGAAUCAUUGUAUGGUGAUCAUAUAUUCAAACACUUUGUUCAAUCAUCCAUGAAUGAAUAUGCAGAAGGGAAACCUUUGUAUGGAUCUCCAAGUGUACCGAAAUUACCGGCUCGAGAAAAUACAACCUGCAAUCAUAUACACCAAGGGAUUAAUAUCUUAGCUUUAACAUCUUAGAUUCACAUUGCAUUAACAGAUAUGUAUGGAGUUUUACCUGGUAAUCUAUAAGGGUUCCUGUCUUAAAACCAGCAGCACAGUAAUCGAAAUAGUAUUCCCAUGUCCGCAUGAACUUCUCGUCGAACCCCAAAGCCAGAACUUUGCUGAGGAGGAAAACAAGAAUAUGAUAGUUUUCAUUGAACCCCAAAGACGAUUUCCGUGCGAAUCGAAAUAGGCACAAUGUGCAAGUACCUUGUGUUUUUCAGGAAAAGUUUUCUCCACCAUCUCAGUGUGUGGUAAUAACUCAUUCCUAUGUUUUCCACAUGCUCCACACUGCAGUCACAAUACUCUUUGAUCAAUUUGUGUUGUAGAACAAAGGACAAAGCAUGAUUGAUUUGUCUAAACAACAAUUGAUGUUACCUGAAUCUUGUUGCAGCAGCCAUGGCUGAUAAAUUCCUAUCCAAAGAAAGCAGGGUUCCACCAGGGAAUAUAUAUUCCUUAAGAAAACCAGCUGUUUGCUGGAUUUCUUUGGAAAGCUCCUCAGGGAUAGAUAUGAACUGAAAAAAAAAAUACAAAACAAAAGACCACUCUUGGACAUUAAUGAAUUGUUUUGGCCUAAUAUUGUAGAAAAAGAAGCAAUGAAGAACAGAUAAUUGGAGUUUUGAAGUUACUAUAAAAGCUAAUACAAAGGCAACAGUACUAUUUUCACCAUUUUAACAUUACCUGAAGAACGAAAAGUCCAUCUUCUUUCAGUAAUUGAUCACAGCAUCUGUAAAAUUCCUCAAUAUAUUCUUCACCAACAUGUUCUACCAUCUCUCUAAAGAAUAUAAUUGCAAAAUGUUAAAACUAGAUGACAUCUAGUUACUAAUUAUAGUUAACUGAGGGAAUUUAUAACUUACACAGAUAUGAUUCUGUCAAAUUGGUGUUCCUUAGGUAACUGGCGAUAGUCACAGAGAAGUAUUUUGAUGUUAUCCUGAUGAUAAGAACUUGUUAACUAUGGGAAAAGAAGGUGCAGAUUAUUUUUUCACUAAGUCUAAAAGAACAAGAAGUUUGCAGACAGAAGCCAUUUUCAGACAUGGAUACCUCGAGUCCAGCUUCCUUCACUUUUUCUUGAGCAUAUUUCAGUUGCUGUUCUGAUAGAGUGAUGCCAGUAUAUUUGCAUCCUGUUCUUUUCACAGUUUCAAUAGCUAAGCUUCCCCAACCGCACCCAAUGUCUAGAACUUCAUGCCAUUUCUCUAUCCUUGUCUAUAUGUAUCAGAAAACAACACAAUCAAAUAAAUUAUCAUAGCAAAGGAAAAUGAAGAAUGCGGAUUAGACCAUCAUGGAUUCUCACUUUCUCAAUUAGAGAACUGAUUUUUCUUCGCUGUGCAACGUCCAAAUGUUCUUCUCCUGUCUGUAAAGCAACUUAAUAGUAGUGUCACAAAUCUCGAAAAGGAUAAAAUCCCAACAUGACAUGGAAAACAAGUCCUUCGUUCAUACACUUUAAAAGAAAAAAAUCAUAGAAGUUGGGAUACUGACCCUAAAGACUCCAGAAGAGUAUUGCAUCAUUUUGCCCAAGUAUAGAGAGAAAAGUUCAUUACUCUGCAAACACAAUUAGCAGGGAAUUAGUUAGCUUUGAUUUGAUAAAUCCUAUAGCAAAUAGUCUUCUACGUUGGUAGUACUAGGUAACACCAAAUUACAAAGACAACUAGUUCCUUAACAAAGAGUUAUCCGGAUAGAGUUUGCAACUGUGCAAUAAAAAUAACAUGUUGGAGGUUGAAUAAUCAAUAUGUCGUUCUAAUACGUUGAAAUUGGAGUCAUGAUCACUUACCAGAUCAUAAUGACGAGAAAUGUUCCUACGAGCUUGUGUAAUAGUAUUUUGUCUUAAGAGAUGCUUCACAAAAUACUUGGCAGAUGAUAUACUAGCUGUUAACAGAGCAGGCGACCACCAAGUCCUGCAACCAAAUAGAUGUCCAUGCUUAAUAAACCGAUUUUAUUUAUGGACUCUACCAGUAUUGCAAUCUAGAUUCUUCUUCAAGCUUAUAGUGAACCUUCUUUUAGCCGACCCUGAGGCAGCUGAGUUCUCUUUAUUGGCAACAAGAAUCUGCAAAGUUAUCAAUGAAGAUUAUGUUAAAUUAUAACUAACCUAAUUUAUUGUAUGUAUAGGAACAGAUCUUGAUAACCUUUUCUUACCCGGAAAAGAUUAAGAAGGCCUUCAUUUUCAUCAAGAAAAGAAAAAUCUCCAUGGAUAUAUGCGUCUGCAAGGCCUAUAUCAGCUUCUUUCAUGAUCUGGGGGGAAAGCACAUAUAAUUCUCAUAAGCAAACGUGACAAUAGAGUUUAAUAUUAACAACUACACCAACUGAAUUAAGAUUAAGUAAGUAAUGUGUGGUGUGUACCCUCCAGUAAAACUGAGGAUUAUGCACUUUCAGAACUGUUUUAAGAGGACACUUUUCCAUGUUUCCUUUGAAAGUGAAAAUUCUGCCUCCUUCCUCUAAAAAACUGAUGAUAGCCACAUGGUCAAUUGUGUCAAAUUCAAGUAGAAAAACAUGCAGUGAACUAACAAAAUGCUUAAAACAUUGAGUGAUAAUAUUUAAGAACUCACAUUACGCAGCCCAUAGAUAUAUAUUGUUGAAAGAAUUUGGUAACAAAGAGGCGUGCCGUUGUUUCCAUGAAAGAGGGUGACAUAUUCUUUGGUAAAGAGGGUGACAUAUUCUUUGGACUGGGCGGAACAGAAGAAUGCUUUCCCAAGAUACCAUGUGCAGCAUCCAUACCAGCCUGAGAAAAAAAGAGCACCUUAGAAAAAUGCCUUGCGGAAUGCCUUGCGGAUUCUUGUACUUUCAUUGCAGCCUAAACUAAAGGAAUUUAUCUUGCCGAAAUAAAAUUGAAUCAUUGGUAAGAGUUAAAAACAAGCAGAAAUUACUAGGUAGGUACCUUUAGUUCAUCCUGAUUGAAGUCAUAGCCUGAAAUAAUUGUAAACAGAUACUCAGAUGAGAGGCAGGUGACAUGAUGCUUUAUUAUCUUAUAAUGACAGCUAACGAAGGUUUUAGAACACAAGGAAUAUGAAAUCUCAGCACAAUGACAGUAGCAAUAAUACUUCACUAAUCUAUAGCUAGUAGAAGAGUACUAAAAGAGCUAGUUUCAUCCCUUGAUAAUUUACUUUUCCCCAAAAUUUUGGUCCAAAAUGUCAACUAAUUUCAUGAGGAAAAAUCUCACCACAGAACCAGAUUCCUCUCUUUCCCUGAAUCUGACCAAGCUCAAGUGAAGCUUUUGAUGCAGCAACAGAGGGAAUUGCAUGGCCGGUUGACCACUUAAGUAAGGUAUUCUUCGGGGUAUGGUCUGGAUUGACAGUCACAAAAAAUGGCUCACUUGUUUUCCCAAUAUUCUGAAAAAAGAAUAAGAACCAGUCAGCAUUACUCAAGUUAUAACUUGAUAAACAACCAAGUAUUUUAGUCAUUCUGAUGAAAUAAAUGGCAUCUGGCAAGAAUCUUCUAUGCUUCCCUAGAUGUUAGGCAAUAUUAGCAAACUUAAUUUUUUGACAUACCUGUAGUGCAUUGAGCCAGUAUGUUAAGAAUGCAUUAUUUUUGCUACUAUUGAGAAAAUUCAAUGCACUCCAAGCUGAUUUGUUUUGUGGCAUUAAAGUACUGUCCUGGUGAAGGAAAAUAUCACUGCCACCACAAACAAUUGAUUAGAUUUCAUGAAUUUUAGUAGCUCACUUUAAAUAAACUAAAGAACAUGUAAAAUAGAUUAGAUUAUACAUGCAUAUUAAUUUUGAGACGUUCGAAGGCAUAUAGAUCAACGAGGGAGUACAAAUUUUAGUACCUGGUAGCAUAUUGGAAAGCACCCAGUACUCUUGUUUCUUCAAAUGUUGCUUGGUUUCCUAAUAAUUUUAGGGCAGUGGGAGCAUCAACAGCCAUUAUGCAUCCAUUGUAAGUUUCUUGGAAACCAUCUCCACAGACCAUGGCGGUACCUGUCCAUCCAUUUAUACACAACUAUCUUUUGAGGUCUGUAAAAUCUCUGAUAUGAAAAACGUCACAUUUUUCCUGGUAAAUAUUGAACGAUGGACUGUUUUCAAGGCAAACACUUACCAUUAUCAACGGGCAAAACAGAUUGUACUUCACAACCGAGUUUAAAUUGACAACCUUUAGUCUCCAGCACUUCCCUAACCUGAUUUCAUCGAAUUGGAUUAUACUUUUAAUUAGCUUACAUCAAUAGAACCUUAAGUGGAGAGUUUAGGAAACUAGAAAAAUGCUCACCCUUUUAACAAAAUGUGAGUGCCCUUUGAUAGUCAACCACUGUGGCUGCCCAAAUAGCUGAAGAUGGAAAAGGAAAACAAAAAGAUCAACAAACGAACCGACACAUUGGGUUUUAUAUAGGAAGAGUCUAAUGCAAAUUAAGCCUACAAUAUGGUAGCCAUAUCUAAAGACUAAGUAGUAUGCAUUUAGGAAAAUAAUCAAACACCUGGUACAAAUGAUGAGUACGGCAAAAUGAAAGGAUGGAAAAAGCUGAAAAGCUCGUAACAUCUUCCUUGGAGCUUGAUCACAUUGAACCACAUAUAGGAGCCUACUCAAAUUUCAAUAUUUUCCAUUGAUUAAUUCCCAUAAUUAAUAUAAAAAAACCCUCAAUAAUGAGAUAAAAUACUCACCAGAUAAGUGUUUUGAAAAUUUUCAGAGUAGCCCUUUGAGUUUAUAAACUGUCCCAAGGUCUCAGUACGAUCAAUGUCUGGGUUGUUCUCAAGUGAUCCAAGGUAACUGCAACACACAAAGUCCAAAAUUUUUCAUUUGAUAAAAACAUGUACUAAUGUAAGAUAACUCGGAAGAGGCAAUAGCUAACCUUUCGACAUCAUUGCCGAAUUUGAUGAUCUCUCUGAGGCUUUGCCAAUUGAAAGGGUUCAACAGUUUCUUCUUUUGAGCAAAGUAAUUGGAAAAUCCAUAUUGGCUGCACCAUUCAUAGCCAUUGUUGCCUUUGUCAUGGCUUAUAGAGAAUGAAACAUCGGAUGUUUCUACAUCAACACCAAGGCUGUCGAACAUAUCCAAUAGUGUUGCAUAUCUUGCCUGUCGUGUUUUAUUUCAUACAACUAAUAAAUUUCAUGCAUUGUUUCGUAUGCUACAAACAUAUAUACAAUAGCUUCAUCAAAAACAUUAAAAAAAAGUGUUUGAAUUCAUAACAAUAGAAUCCAUGCAUUUGUUUCCAUGAACAUGAACUUAACAAGUGUUAUUUGAAUUGAAUCGGACCUGUUAAUCGCUCUAGAUAUAGAAGUGAACCGACCUUGAAUAAAUUGUUCAAAAUUAAUAAAAAUCGAAAUUUUUAAAAAAUGUUGAAUUUUUUAUAAAUUUUAAAUAUAUUCUUUAAUUUUUAUGAAAUUUUAAUUAUUUAUUUAAUUACUAAAUUUUUUAUUUUCUAUUUUUAAUUAAAUUUAAAAAACAUAUUUUAAAUUUUAAAUAAUUAUAAUUAUUAUAAUAAUGAGACGGCUCACAUUUGUCCGUACACAUACGGAUGUGAGCUCCCUCCCAAAUAAUUAAUAUUUUAUAUAAUACAAAGAGAUAAGCUAUUCAUUUAUAUAUAUAUAUAAUUUAAAAUGCGUAAUGGAGCUGGUAAAAACGACAGGUUAAUAUAUUUUUUUCAUUAUUAAAAUUAAUUUUUUAAAAAAAUUUAAAAAAAGUCUCUACUGGCAAACUAUAAAUUGUAUAAAUAUAAUUUAAAAAUAUUAAUAAUUAAUACUGGUUACAUUCAUAAUAAUAUAAAUAUUUAUACUAUAUAUUAAAUCUGUGAACCAGACAUAAACUUAGUUGAAUAAUGAUUAAAAUAUAAAAAUACAGGAGUUUAAACUUUAAACAUUAUAAAUUUUAAAAUCUUUAUUAGAGGCUUAGUCAAGGGGGUUGGCAAGGCCCCAACCCCUAAAAUGAAAAUUUUUCUAUUUAAGUUUUUUAAAUUUUUUUAAAAAUUUUAAAUUAAUAAAGAUAAAAUUAUACUUUUGUCCUCCUUAAAAAUGAUAAAAUUUUGAUUUUAUCCUUUAAAAUUUAUAAAGUUAUAUGCUAUUCAAAUAGUAAAAUUGUAUUUUUACUAUCGCAAAAAUUUAAAAUUUUAUUUUGACCCCCUAAAAAAAUUUAUACCUUCGCCCCUAAUCUCUCAAUUAAAAUUUUAUUUGUUUUUAUAUCAACUUUAUAUAAAUAUAUUUGUUAUAUAAUUCAAGUUUUCAUCUAUAUCAUGCGUGUACUAUAUAUAAUAAACAUAGAAUAAUUAAUAAUUUUAUCAAGAUUUUCAGAAGUCGAAUCAAUAGUUGAAUCAGUCUGACCAUCUAUUUCCGAAUUUGACUAAUUCGUUCUAUUUAAUUAAAUAAAUUAUUUAUAUCUAUCCCUAAUUCAACUGUUUGCAAAUCAACCAAUCUGACUAUAUUUUUUAGAUCGAUACUACGUUGGGUUUAAUUCUAUUUGAAACCCAAUGGUCCACACUUAUUACCAACCUCUGAAAGUACACCAUACUUGGGGCCAAGUGUACAAAUACAAUUUAAUAAUAAUUUUUAUUUAUAAAAAAUAAUUAAAAACAAUAUAUAUAUAUAUAUAUAUAUAUUAUUUCACUAUCUAUCAAUCACUAUCCACAAUAAAGGAAAAAAAUGCCCUACUGUCCAUAAUGGAGGAAGCAAAAUAAAGAAAGUCAAGAAAUUCCAGGACUAACCAAAAACAAUGAUCAACCGCCACAAAAGAAGCACUAUAUAAAGAAAUUUGAUAUAUUUUUGAAAAAAAUUUGGACUUUAAGUUUUGUUUGACAAAAAAAAUGUUGAAAGUACGAAAUUUAAUCAAAAUUCAUUAUGAAUAUCGAUAGUGUCUCUGUACCUAAAUUAGUAAUUGGUUUAAUUUAUCCGAUUUGAUUAAAUAAAUUAUUAAAAUAAAAAAAUUCUGAUUUUAAUUAUUUAACUUCUUUUUUAUCCGACCAAAAAAAAAACUGUUCCAAUAACUUUGACAACAAUACAGUGGGGAAGCAUUUGUCAUUUUAGGUGAUUUCAACAUCCACUUGAAUGAUAGAACCAAUCCAAAGGUACUUCAAUGCCAUCUUAGUACCCCCAAUAAAAAUAAUUCUAAUUUUAUUUUACAUAAUAAUGUAAAUUAAAAAUAAAUUUCGACUCGGAUUGGGUUGGCUUUAUAAAAUGUUGACUAAAAUUAUAUUUAUUUAUUUUAAUUUGAUCAGGUUUAAAAUAAAAAUUGUUUAAAUUGAAUCGGAUUGGAUCGAUCGAUUAAGGAAUUAAUUGAAAAAAUGAUGUUGAACCGAUUAAAUUGUAAAUCGGUUGAAUCAAUUGAACCAAAUUUUUUAAAUUUUUAAUAUUUUUAAUCGGACCGACGAGACCGAUUUGAUGAUAUGAGUCAUUGAGAAAAUGACUCAAUCAAAUUUGUUCUUAGUAUUUGUAGUUUGUCAAUGCAACCCGCUGUUAGUGCAUGUAAUUGCAUUAUUUUUCUAAAGUAUAAAAAAAAUGUGGACGGCCAAGCGAAGACAAAAUAUUUGUUGAAAUUAAUUUUUUUAAAUGUAUGAUUUUCUAUUUAUUUAAAAAAUUAUUUAAAAUGAGUAAUAAAAAAUUUAAUUAAAUUUAAUUAAUUAAAAAUUUGAUACAAAGAUAAAUAUUAGAUAUUUUAAAAUUUUAAAAACACAUAAACUAUUUAUUUACUUAUAAAUAAAAGCUUUUGGGUUUUGAAAAAAAUUGGUUAGUGCGGUAGUAUUUUAAUUUGGUAAAGUUGGUGUAAGGUAAAGCUUGCAUAAUAAACGUGACUGAUGUGAUUCAAACGCAGGUCAUACUUAAAACGGUGGAUACUAUUAACCAUCAAAUCAUCGAAUGAAGUUCAAAGUUUAAACUAAAAUUAAUUUUCAAAAAAUCGAUUAAAUAAUUAAUUCUCAAUUUAAUUGAUUAAAUUAUGGGAUUAAUAAUAAAUAAAUAAAAUACAUGCAAAAUUAAAUUUUUUUAUCAUGAGCAGUAUAUUUAAAAGUAAUUAAUUCUCAAUCACAUGAUUAAAACAUGAAAUGAGCAAUUAUUACGUUAUAUCUUGUCAAAUCCUUUUUUGUGAAGAAAAAUGUUUGAUACUAUUAAGAAUUUAAGGUUAGUACAAAUAAAAUUACUUAGCGUGUUAUAAGAUUAUUUUUGUCGAAAUCCUUUCAAAUAUUGAAUAGAAAGUAAACUCGGAUAAAUUAUUCGUAUUUUAAAAAAAGAAUACUAAUUUUAUAAUGUAAUAUGAAGAGAAAAUGGUUUGUAUAGUUUUAAUAUUUAAAUAAAUUUUAGAUAUUAUAAUUAAAAAGGAAAUACUUGAUUUUAUUGUAUGCUUAUUUAAUAAUAAUAAUAAUAAAUAAAUAACAAAGAAAAAGGCCUUACUGGAUUGAGAAACAAGAAGCCAAGGUCUAAAUCAACGGCGUCGAAGUUAACAGUCUUUGCAUGGCCGCCUAAUUGUUCUUCUUUCUCGUAAACCACCACGUCCACGCCGGCUUUGACCAGUACGUAGGCCGAAAGCAACCCUUUUAUCCCACCUCCGAUCACGGCCACUUCCAUCACUGCCGCCGGUACACUGCUUUACCUGUAUUUACGCCCAAAAAACACCCGACCCAAACUAUCAUUUUUCGUCAAAAAGUGAAAAAUUGAAAUGCAGCUGUCAUGUUUGAGGAAAAACUACAAAGAACUUGAAACCUACGUUUAAAUGGCUACGAGAUCGUAAAAGAAAAAUCCAAACGCCAAGAAAAACGGCCAAUGGAUCCCUUAUUGCUUUCCCCAAGGUCAUAUAUAUAUGAAAAAAAAGCAGCAGGACUUGUUAAAAUAUAUUAUCAUUGACUAAAAAAUAAUUCAUGCACAUAAAAAUUGGCAUUAAAAAUAUUAUCUCAAUUUAUUGGAGGAUGGUUGAUUCAGUGAGUAUUGUUUUUUCUGCUGUAAAUAGUCUAGUAUUUGUUAUAAUCCCAUAAGUUGGUAUCAAUCACUCUCCCUUCCCACUAAAUAUUAAAAACAUAAGGUAAUUUCCGAUUUAAUUACAUCUAAAAGCACGUGUUUUAAAUCAAAUUCGAUAAAAGCAUAAAUUUUUUUAAAAAAUUUAAUUAUUUUAUUUUGAAUGAUUUAGGUGAGAGAAUCAUAAAAAAGUGAGCAAAGAUUAAUUUUAACAAGUUUUAUGAAAUGGACAUCUAACUUACACUGAUUUUGUAUUUUGGUAAUAUCUUGAGCUAUAGCACUCCGAUUUGGUCGAUAAUGUACGGCUACAAAGGGAAUUAAAAGAUUUAAAUUAGACUUAUUUCACGACUCGAUGCCAAAGAAACAUACCCAAAAUUGGCCUAGAAGUUCAGGAUGAAAAUAUGCUAAAAACCUUGAAAAACUCCUUUAAUUUAUUAAGGGUAUUUUUGUCUUUUUUGUGUGAAUUUUACUUUAUAAAUACAUAGUUUUACCCUAUAUAUAUUUCCUUUUUCUUGUUUUCUCUCAAUUUUUUUAAUACCCAAUUUGAAGGAAAAUGAGAGGAAAUAAAAUAUAAUAAUUUUUUAAAUGUCAUUUUCAUCCUUAUUUAUUUUAAUAUUUUUUCUUUGAAAUUUCUCUUACUAAUAUGCUGAAAUUAUUCUAUUUUUUAAUAUUUUAUUACUUUGUUGUAAAUGGUUUUAUUAUUUUUUAAAAUAUUUUUUUAUGAAUUAUUACAACUCUUUAAAAAUAUUUAAACUCUUAUUAAAUUUCUACAUUUUUUAUAAUUAUUAAAUUUUUUUAUUUUUAAAAAUAUAUAAUCAAACUAAUAAUUUUAUCAAAUUAAUUUAUACUUUUUUUGGUUAACACUUUUAAUUAUGAUUUUAUGAACAACAUUAAUUUUCUAUAAUCUAUAAUUUAAUUUAAUUUAAUUAUUAUAUCUCUUUUAAGUAAGGUUAUAAUUGAAAAAAAAUAUCGAAGCAAAUCAUUUUUAUUUUCCCCCUCUUAGCCAAACAAAAAAUAUUAAAAUUAUUAAGCAUAAGUUAUAAAUGCAAUUCAUGUUACGUGGAUAUGUAGUUUAGUUUAAAUAAAUUAUGUUAAUUUGUUUGUUGGCUUUCGAUAAAUUCAUAGGCAUUCGUUAUAAGGUUAUUUAUCAAUAUAAAUAAUAAUAAUAAUGACAUUUGUUGAUAAGGAUGCGUGCAGAAUAGGAUCACAAGUUUGACAAGUCGCGAAUUUGACCUAGGGCUCUAGACGAAUGAAGGAAACUUGCAGCUUGAUUAAACCUGAAACGCAACAAUUCGAGUUACAUCUAAUUAAAGAAAGCAACAAAUAAAACAAAAUAACGAAGAAAUUAAGAACAAGGGAAUUGAAUUAAACUAGGACUCUUAAGAGAGAGUCUAAUUCGACUAUAGAGACACUUGUUGUAACAUCCCAAACCCGGCCUAAAUGUUACGGUCGAAUUUUGAAGGCUACAUGGACCAUCAAAAUGGCCAAAUAAAAAUAGUUCUUUGAACAUCAUCAUUUUUGUCAAGGCUUACAAAACUCGUCAUCUUUGUUAAAACAUCAAAUUUUAGGGUUGUCUUUGUAAUUAUAGUUCUUUUACUUAGUAGUGACAUUUUCGGCGAAAAAACGCAAUCAAAUUGCAAAACAGUUUAUAUUUUCAAAAUCGAUUUCUUUACUACGCAGCGGAAAAUCAUAAUUUUUACUUAGGCCCAAAAUUUUGCAAUUACCGGUUAUUAAGUCAAUUCAAAGCAAAAAAAAAAAAACAUGCAAGCAAUUAAGCCCAAAAUAUUAACCCAAGGCACAGUCCCAAUAAAAAAACAUUUACAAUUCCAACCAAAAAUUAAUUUUAAAUUCAAAAUUUUAAAUAAGUCCAGUGUCUGAUACGAGAAUUCCAAAGGCCCAAACCCAGUCCUUAGCUCAUGGAUUACCUGUAAAGUUUAAACUAAGGGGGUGAGCUUCAAGAGCUCAGUGUGAGCCUAAACAAGGCAACUAAAGAAUAUUCACAAUUUCAACUAAUAAGACAAUCAAUAAUCAUGUAGCAAUUUUACAAAAAAAUUAUGGCAUCAAUUCAAUCAAUUUCUCAAAGUCAUGUUCAUGGCACACUUUAUGCAACAAUGCAAGUCUUACACAUACCAUUUGCUACACAUUAUGAGUUCCCUAGAACUCGUCAUCCAAACACCAAACAAUUGGAGCCGAAGCCCAGCGUGGUUGAAUCUUAGAAACAAGAUGAAUCAACAACCUCUUCAAACGACUCUAAUUUUCCCUCUAAGAAAGUGUUAUUCGCAAGAAAAAACUUGAAGACGAUUCUCAUAAUCUAAAAUAUUGUUAAAACUUCUUUUAAAAGAAAACUUAAGUGAAAUUCUUGAAGAGAAAAACUUAAAAAGAAUUUGUACGGUGUGUCUCGUAUUUUCAGUCAAACAGAUAGCGAUGUCACGACGAGAAGUUUCUCGACAUUGCAAUGACGGACAACGUCGUGAUGACGUGAAUGAGGACGUUGCGACGUUGCUACGUUGCGACGUGUUCCCCCUAUAAAUCGAGUUUUUUCUCGCAAUUAAACUUUGUUAUCUUUUCUCAGUCUAACUCUGAUUAUUCUAGGGAUGUUUUAGUGAUAUUUUCACACGAAUUUCAGCCUAUAAAUAAGCCUUUUAGCAAUCCUAGAUAGUUAGAAUAAUAACAACAAAAUUAAGAGAGAGUUUAUGGGAAUUUCGGGAAAACUUUGUAAUUUUAGGUUCGAGUUUGUUUAUUUCUCCAUCUUGUAAUUCCCUUUUGAUUUUUGUCGUUGUUAAUGAAAUUUUCUUUACUCAUGAUUUUUUAUCAUCUUCAGAAAGAUUUUUCCACAUAAACAUUUGUGUCCAAUUUUAUCGAUUUUCGUUCAUAUUCGUUAUAUAAUCGAAUUCAACCUAGAUUUGAGUUUUUUUUAACCCAUAAGUAUCAAUAUAUCUAAUAAAAAAUAAAUACAAGUAAAACAAAUGAUGACCCACAAACAGCUCAAUGAUAUUCAUAUAUAAAUUAUUUAAAUCAUAUAAAUAUCCCAAAAAGGAGAUAGGUCCACGAUUCCAUGGCCAUUCGGCCAGAAUUCUUUAAAUUUAAUUUUGGGGCGUAAAGUGAAACAAACUUUGGUGCAAAUUGCAAAAUUAUGAGGGGGUCAGGUGGCAAUAAUAUCAAAUAUUACAUACAAAUUGAAAUAAAAAAUUAAAGAAAACAAGUUGAUUUUGGUGAUUAAUUAAUGCCAGCAUUCGAUAUUAAAUGUAGUUAGGUGUUACUCCGACAAGUAUUUUUAUUAUGCCACCACCGUCUUCAAAAAUUAUAAAAUAGUUAUUCAACUAUUCGAAAGUUUUUAUUUAAAUUACUGGGUUGUUAAGUUUUUUUUUUUUUAAAGUUUGAUUUGCGAUCUCCAAGAGACGAUCUGAUGAUCAGUAUAGUGGAUCGAUACCCGCCAAUAAGUAGAAGAACAUACUUAUAUCCAAGUUGAUUUGACGGUCAAUAUAGGAGAUUGAAAAAAAAAAGCUAUUUGGAUUUUGGUUAUCAAGUUUAAGGCAUUCAAAGUUGUUACAUGAAAAAGGCUGAAUUAUUAAAGAGAAGAGGAAUGAGAGCUUUCGAUUAGUGCAAGCAUUGUGAACAUAAGGCCAUACAGUAGUGACUUUCGAAUAGUCAAUGACCAUUUUGUAACUUUUUGAAGUUGAGGACCAACACAUAAACUUACUAAUAGUUUUGUGACAUUGGGUAUAAUUUAUCCUAAAAAUUAAAAGGUUGCAAUAUGAUUCAAGUUAUUGUACUCUUUGUACUUUUAUUUUCAAGAAUUUAGUUUCCUUAUGUUUCGAAUUUAACACUGUUAAAAUUAUUCUAUUAAUUCGCUAAUAUAAUAUUUUAAGGUUUAAAAAAAAAUACUCACUUAAUAGUAAUGUAACAAAAAAUGAUAUUGUAAUGGACCUAAAUUUGACAGAAAAAUUUAAUGGUGUUAUCAAUUCUUAAAAGUUUGUAUCAAUAUUUUCCCUCACUAUUUGCUUCCACUCACUUGAUAGUCAUGUAACAAAAAAUGAUAUUGUAAACAACUAAAUACUUCCGCUCCUGUUUCUACUAAUAAAAUUUUCUGUCAUAUUAACAUCAUACCUUUUCUUUUCACCCUUCUUCCUCACCAGAUCCACUUCACUUUCGUAUAACUUUCGACUAUACCUCAAUCUUUCACACCCCAAACAAAAUCAAACCAUUUAUCAUAUCUGCUUUUUGUUGGCUCUAGUGCUCUAAGUGUAGUAUAUUCGUUUUGUAUACUUGUAUUUUUCAAACAAAUUGAUUUAAUAAAAAUAUUCAUUAAGUACAUUAAUGCAUUUUUUUUAUUGUUCUCAUUGUUUUUGCAUGCAAAGCAAAAUAGAAGCAAAUAUUGACUCGUUGGUUAUCUAACAUUUCACUAAUACUAAGCAAUAUUACAUGGUUGGAUUGUAAUAUGAAAAGACAACUUGUCUUAGUAGAAGAACCUAAACAUGUCCCUAGUUUAAUCGAAAAUGAACAAAUCAAUUUAAAGACUAAUAUGUUGUCUAUUAAGUCCAAUUGGGGAAAUGCUUUUGUUUUAAGCAUCGGAGCAUAUGAUUUCCAGAAAAUAGAGACAUAGAUAUGACUGACUAGAUUAACAGUACAUCAGACAAUACUUAAGUAGAAUAGAUCUUAGAUCCAUUUAUAGAUUUAUUCACUUGUGACAUUCAUAAUGUGACAUACAUUAAUCUUAAGUGGAUAAUAGAUUAUGUAUGCAUGACUCGUAUACUUUGCUAUAAGUAAAAACCUGAGUGCAAAUAGAUAAAAAACUGAAAGCUAGUGUGUUGAAUACACGACUUCUGUAGUAUGUGGCAUCGUUUACAACAGUGGAAUUCGUAGCUCAAUUAAUGGAUAAAUGAUAUUCUCUCAUUGCAUUACAUGAUAGAUGGAAAGUAAAUGUGUCCACGAGUUGUUUGUCUUUGUGAUAACUAUUUAAUAAUAAUUGACUUUUCAUUAAGGAUUAUGUAAUGAUUAUUAUGAGACAAAAUAUGAUCAUAUUAGGAGAACAUAUAAAAAGGGAAAAUGAUAAUUUUAUAUAGCGCAAUGGGGCAGGAAAGCAAUUACCAUAAACAUUUCAUAUCCACCGUCUAAAAGAAAAAAUUCACUCUGUCUCACCCCACAUCCACUUUUCAAAAAUAAUUUUCCCUCAUUUCCUCUCACUUUAUUUAUUUUGAAAUUUUCAUCUACUUUUUUAUUUUAUUUUAAUAUUUAAAAUUUUCUAAUAUUUUUAAAACAAUUUUUAUCAUUUUAUAUAUAAUCAAGGUCAAAUUGACAAAAAAGUAUAAAAACAGAGGAAUAAAUUUAUUAUUAUACAAACUAAAAAGUGCCACUUAACAGUUGGGUGACAAAAAAAAACAAUUUCAAAAACUGUAGUAAUUAAAUUGUAACUUUUUUUAGUUAAGUACCUAAAACAAAAAAUUUCUCAUAAAUCACUGACUGAUUGUAAAAUUUACCCAUAGAUUAUUGUAUUAAUUGAGUAGCUUUGUAUCAAACCCAGCUUUUUUAUUUAAAUAACCCCAAAAAAUUAAUUAAUUUUUAAAAUGACCAAUUUUUUUAAUUAAACACCAAAAUGACCUAAAAUCUACAGUAAAAGUUGUUGGCGCUAAAUGAUUUGGCGCCACCAACAUACCACAUCAGCAUCCAUGAAAAAAAAAUUAAUUUUUUGGUGGAGCCAUGUAGAAUGACGCAACAUGUAUAAAUACUAUAGAAAUACUGUAAGUUCUAGAAAUAUGAGGGACUUCAAAAUAGAUUUGCCCUUUUUUGAUGGAGCCAAUUAAUAUGGCGCCACCAGUCUGACACCACCUGCCACCUUCUUUCUUUUUUUUUUUACUUUUUUACUUUCGUCCCUUUUUUUGUGUUUUUAUAUUUAUUUAUUUAUUUUACUUAUUUUUUAUUAUUAAUUUUAAAAAUUUUGAAAUGUAUAUUUGAAAUAUUUUAUAAUAUAUAUUUUUAAAAUUUUAAAUAUAUAUAUUUGAAAUUAUUUUUAAAAAUUUUAAAUAUAUAUUUUUGAAAUUAUUUUUUGAAAUUUUGAAUAUUAUUUUUUAAAUAUUAAAUAUAUAUUUUUAAUAAUAUAAAAUAUUUAAAUAUUUAAAGAUAUGACCUUUCAAAUUUAUUAUUAGUUUUUUAAUAUUUUUAAUAUUAUUUAAUUUGUUUUAUAAUAUUUUAAAUUAUGAUUUUUAAAUUAUUUUUAAAGAUAUUCGACUUUUUAAUAAAAAUAACUCAAAAAAUUUAAUUAAUUACCACAUGCCCACAAGGAUAAUGUAGUGUUUAGAACAUCCCGCACUCACACCGCCUGUUUUGAAGAUCAACUCCUUAGGGUCGUGGCGGGAUCCCCGACCGACGACCGAUAUAUUCUGUCAAUCGAAAAGUUUCUAAAUUUCGGGAAUAUAGUUCUGCAUUCAUCGACCUAGCCCUUUGAGCGUUCUCUUUCAUGGCAUCCCUAAUUUUUUGGUAAUUAAUUAAAAUUUUUAGGUUAUUUUAUUAAAAAGAAGAAAAUCUUUAAAAAUAAUUUAAAAAUCAUAAUUUAAAAUAUUAUAAAAUAAAUUAAACAAUAUUUAAAAUAUUUAAAAACUAAUAAUAAAUUUGAAAGACCGUAUCUUUAAAAUAUUUAAAUAUUUUAUAUUAUUAAAAAUAUAUAUUUAAUAUUUAAAAAUAAUAUUUAAAAAAUAAUAUUCAAAAUUUUAAAAAAUUCAAAAUAUAUAUUUAAAAUUUUAAAAAUAGUUUCAAAUAUAUAUAUUUAAAAUUUAAAAUAUAUAUAUUAUAAAAUAUUUCAAAUAUACAUUUUAAAAUUUUUAAAAUUUUUAAAAUUAAUAAUAAAAAAUAAGUAAAAUAAAAUAAAAUAAAGAUAAAGAUAACAAAAAAAAGGACGAAAGUAAAAAAGUAAAAAAAGAAAAAGAAAGAAGGUGGUAGGUGGUAGGUGGUGUCAGGCAGAUGGCGCCAUAACUCCACCAGAAAAUGAAAAAUUUAUUUUUAAGUCCUUCAUAUUUUCAGAACUUGUAAUAUUUUCAUAAUAUUUAUACAGGUAGCACUAUUCUACAUGGCUCUAUCAAAAAAUUAAUUUUUUUUAUGGAUGCUGACGUAGCAUGUUGGUGGCGCUAAACCAUUUGGCUCCACCAACUUUUACUGUAAAUUUCAAGUUAUUUUAGUGUUUAAUUAAAAAAAUAAAUUAUUUUGAUAAUUAAUUAAUUUUUUAGGUUAUUUAAAUAAAAAAGCAAUAAGAGAAAAUUCUCUUGUCCAAUCAUUCAAGCAUUAAAUAUUGAAGAGCCAAGGAAUGUCAAGUGGUGAAUUAG
rnacentral:lncRNA from 1 species